UUCCACAACUGGCACCGGCGGAUGACCCAGCUUCUUAAAGGGUGGAAUCUUGAAGAUUGGAACUGGUGGAGCGAGUGGCUUCUUGAAGAUUGGAACUGGGGGUGGAAAUGGCUUCUUUACAGUGGGAAUCUUACGUAGAGGUGGUUUCUUGAAGGAGGGCUUCGGUGGAAAUGGCUUCUUUACAAAGGGAAUCUUAUGUACAGGUGGUUUCUUGAAGAAGGGUUUUGGUGGAAGCACUGCAAACUUCCUUUCUUCAUUGAGCUCUGCAGCCUCUGUUUGGAGCUCUUCAAUUUGGACAUGCAGGUGCACAAGAGAUGCAGAAGAAUGUCAUUAUGUGAUCUCAAGACUAAUAUAUAAUAACACACAUAUAAAUAUAUAUCUCACCUGAAAAAGCUUUGUCUGGUACUACUUUCUCCAGCGACCUCAACAGUCUCUCCAUUGCUGUAGCAGAAGCUUACUGCAAACAAGCAGAACCAGAGCCCCAGAAGAGCUCCUUGGAAAGCAGGACGGGUCUGCAUUGAAACCCUUCUUAAUAAGCUGCCACUUAUAGAAGUGCUUAAUCCAACUUUUAAAAUUUGGUUAAGCUAGCUUUGGUGCUUUUUAUCAGUUGCAGCAGGCAUGCUAUAAAUAGUAAGUUUAGGAGGCUUAGGUCUGCUUGCACUUAAUUAUUAAUUAAGGGGUUGAUAUCAAGGUCAUUAAGAUUGAAAAGGAUUUUAGUACAUAGAGGCAAACAUGUCACUGGCUUUGCAGCUCAAAUGGUAUUUAUUUCAUCCAAUGACAACUGCUACGUACCAGCACAGCUGUUCUGAUAGUUCAAGUUUGUCAAAUGGCAUCAAUGCUGACUAAGAAGUAUCAAAGGAUGCCAUCACUAACUAUGAAGUCACACAUUUUGUCAUUUGGAUACUAACCAAAGCUUAAUUUGUCAUGUCAUGCUUUUGGGGGUAUAUUUGGUGAUCCUUUAGAAUCAUAAAAUCCAAGCUCUUACGUACUCCAUGUGAGAAAUGACAUUUUUACUAAUUUGUAAUCGGAACGAGAGUGAGGAGUCGGAAUCAGUCAUUCCCACUAGAGUCACCAUUAUUUGUUUCCAAUUUUUCUUCACCUAGUAUACUGUUGGGAAUAAAUAUUAUUUUUAUUAUUAUUUAUGUUUACUCUAAAAUAUCCAAGCUUUAGAGAUGGGCUUGAGAAUGAAUGAGUUGCAAACGUGCCACUAUUAGUAGUGUAAAAAUCCUAAUAAACUUGAAAGAAUUAAGUAUAUUACGCACUAAGAAACUGACUUAAAAUCAAAUGAUUGUGAAUUGGAAGGGAAACUAAUCAAUGAAGAUUGAUAGAAAUAUGUUUUGGACACUUUUAUGUACAUAACCCCUUACUCUUUUCCUCACACAUAAGAAUGAGUUUAGUAAUUAAAUAUCAGGCAAAUAAAAUUACUUAUGCAUAACUACAAAUUAUGGCAAGGCAAAUUUGUAUUAAGUUUGACUUGUGAGCAUGGAAAUAUCAAUUGGAAGUUGGUUUAGUUAGACAUCAGACUUUGACUAAUCAAAUUGAAAGUGAACUGCAUUAGUAACCGGUGACAUUAUUGAGGCACGUCCUCUUCUUGGAACUAUAUGGUCCCCAAGUUCUAUUAUUGAGGCACGUCCUCUUCUUGGAACUAUAUGGUCCCCAAUUGAGGCAUGUCCUCUUCUUGGAACCAUAUGGUCCACAAGUUCUAUUAUUGAGGCAUCUCCUCUGUCCUCUUCUUGGAACCAUAUGGUCCCCAAGUUCUAUUAUUGAGGCAUGUCCUCUUCUUGGAAUCAUAUGGUCCCUAAUUGAGGCAUGUCCUCUUCUUGGAACCAUAUGGUCCACAAGUUCUAUUAUUGAGGCAUGUCCUCUGUCCUCUUCUUGGAACCAUAUGGUCCCCAAGUUCUAUUAUUGAGGCCUGUCCUCUUCUUGGAACUAGGAAAACCGGUGCAUAAUUACCAGUUGAGCUUGAGAAAUAGUAACGUCAUUGAGCCUGGUCUUGACGAAUUUUGGGUUGCAAGAUUAAAUCUUCAAGUCAUAUUCAAUUUGUAAAGUUUGUUAGAUUUUUUUAUAUGCGUGCUCAGGAUCUUUCACACAAUUUGAAAUACGUAAAGACAUACCUGGCGCCAUCAUUCUUGAGUACACAACCUCUGAACUCAUUCAACCGUAGCAGCAACAAUCCCAGCAAGAACAGGAACGGCUCAAGACUUCUGCUCUCUCUCAGAAUCUGUUUCAACUAUCUCUUUAUGAUGAAAUUAGGGUUAGAGAACGUGUCUGACGAGAGCAGGGCCUUAAGCUUAUAUAGACUAGGUCAAGUCGUCUCUACUCAUCACCAAGGGCCGGCUUAACUAAUCUUCCAAGCCCACCAAGCAACGGUUCACGCAAAAGGAAAUAAAUAGGACCCCUUAAUAGGCUUCAAAACCUUUCCUUAUUCCACAAGGUUUUGGGCCUUAAGAUAUAACCUAAUUUAAACUCUUAUCAAAACUUGAUAUAACUUAGUAUCUAGUGUACCGAUCUAAAUAGGAAACAUAACAUUCUCCCACUAGAUCAAGCACUAGAGCACUACGCUUCUGUAUUCCAAAAGGCUUGAUAAUUUUUAUUGGCCAUGAGUUUAAAUUAGUUAAGUCAUUUCCUUCAAGCUACAGUGAAAAGUGAUUAGACAAAACGAACUAUAGACAUGCACUGCUCUCUUUAUUGAAAACAGGCCAUCUAUAAUCACAUAAUGCAAUCUCAAAACACAUGAAGCAGCUACCAACGCGAACCUUAAUAUGUACUGAUCCGUAAUGUGAAUCUUUAUGCUUUCAGUACAUGUACCCCUUUACGACUUAGCAAUAGUCAACCUGCAAUGUUAUUAAAACAAUAGUAUCUCAAAAGAGACCAUAAACUCACAUGCAUAAACAAAAUUACGUAUUAAGUUUAAACAGCUAAAUAGUCAAAAUGGUAGAAUUUAUUCAAUAAUAAAUAAAAUUGUCAACCAAAUUAACAUUCUUAAAUGCAAAUCCCUUAAUCCAGAAAACAGCAAAAAUAAACAUACUAGUAAAAUAUCAGAAUGGAAACAAGACUCCAACUAAAUUGUAGCAUCAAAGCUAGGAAAUAAUCCCAUGCUCUCAACAUGUCUUGGAAAAGUUUCUGAAGGCAAAAACUUUGUGAACAGAUCUGCAAUCAUAUCUUGAGUUCUGAUACGAUCAAAUAUGACUAGUUUGUCUACUACCUCCUCCUUCACUGUUAAAUAUUUUCUAUCAAUAUGUUGAAGUCCAGACGACAUCUUAUUGUUCAUGCAGUGAAAAACAGCCAUAGUGUUGUCAUUAUAUAUCAGUAUUGGUCUAGAAAUCGAGUCCCCGACCUUAAUGUCUUUAAUAAAAUUCCUUAGCCAUACUGCAUGAGAAGUGGCUUCAUAGCAAGCUACGUAUUCUGAAAACAUGGUUGAACUCGAAAACCAUAUUGUUUAGCACUCUUCCAAGCAAUAGCUGCUCCUGCUAUCUUGAAAAGAAAACCUGAAGUAGAGAUGUAAUCAUCCUAUGCUUUUCUAAGAUUCGCAUCAGCAUAACCAACAAGCUCUAAAUUCUUCGUGCAUUUGUAAAUCAACAUAUAAACCUUUGUUUUAUGCAUGUACCUCAAAAUCUUCUUUCCAGCUAUCCAAUAUUGCAUUCCCGGAUUUGACUGAAAUAUCCCCAUUUUGCUAAUGCACAAGGCUAGGUUUGGCAUUGUACACACUUUUGCGUACAAAAUGCUUCCAACUAGAGAAGCGUACUGCUUGUUCCUCAUCUCAUCUUCUUCUUCUUCUUUAUUCUUGGGGCAAUACUCCUUCUUUAAAUCUCCUUUAGCUAAAGGAACUUUCUGUCCAGAACACAUUCUCAUGUCAAAACUAUCCUUUCAAUGUAUGUUUUCUGUGACACGCCUAGUAGGCCUUAAGCUCGGUCUCUCUGAAUUUCAAUGCCUAACACAAAAGCGGCUUCUCAAAAUUGUUUGAAAGUAGCUCCUUAGUGUGUUUCAGUAAAUUGUGGUCAUUUGUAGCCAAAAGUAUAUCGUCAACAUACAGCAUUAUAAAAAUAAAUCGGCUCCCACACUUCUUCAGAUCAAUCCAUUGAUCGGCUAUGUUAUCUUCAAAACCAUAAGAUGAAACAGUUUGAUGGAAUUUGAAAUACCACAUCCUGCUUGCUUGCUUCAGUCCUUAAAUUGCCUUGUCAAGUUUGCAAACCAUAUGUUCUUUUCUCUCCUUUGCAAACUCUUCAGGUUGCCUUAUAAAAUUUUCUUCUUUGAGUUCACUAUUCAGGAAAGCAGUUUUUACAUCCAUUUGAUGUAAAAGUAGGUCACAAUGCACCACCAAAGCCAUAAUGAUGCGGAAAGAAUCUUUGGUGGAAACUAGAGAAAAUGUCUCAGUGUAGUCAAUUCCCCCCCUUUGGUGAGUCCUUUUGCUACCAAUCUAGCCUAAAAUCCUUCGAUUCUUCCAUCCUUAUCCUUCUUUGUUUUGAAUACCCAUUUCGAGCCUACCAAUUUCUGGCUCUUGUGAGGUUCAACUAAUUCCCAUACUUGAUUAUUCUUCAUGCUUUCGAGUUCAUUCAACAUUGCUUUUCUCCAUUUGUCUGCAUUCAUUCGAGUUCAUUCAACAUUGCUUUUCUCCAUUUGUCUGCAUUCAGACUCUCCAUAGCUUCUUUAAAACUUGUUGGAUCAGCCUCAUCUCCAAUGUCAAAAUCUGCUUCCUGUAAGUACACAUAAUCCGAAAUUGUUGUGGAUUUUCUUGUUCUAUCAGAUCUCCUUAAUUGCAUUGGUUCAUGUGAAUUUUCUUGUUGUGGGUUUUUUGCAGUUUGUUCUUCUUGUUGUUGAUCAACUAGUUCUUCAUACUGAACAACCAGUCCCAAUAAUCCGAGUAUUAUAAUUUGGACAGUAUAAUUAUAAAUUUUUUAAAAAAAACUUAAAAUCUAAUUCAGGUACCAUAAUUUGGAUGGUAAAAUCUAGAACCAUUUGACCUUGUAGGAUAACCAAUAAAAUGACAGCAAAUCAUUUCAGGAUCAAGCUUCUUCUCUUGAGGGUUAUAGAUUCUAACUUUAACUUUGCAACCCCAUACAUGAAGGUGCUGCAGGUUAGGCUUUCUGGAAGUCGAAAUUUCAAAAAAAUGUCUUAGGUACGACGUUAUUAGGCACUCUAUAGUUUCUUGUUUUGAUCGCCUCUCUUAAAAGCGUAGGCAAAUCAGCUUUGGAAAUCUUCCUAAAAACCAUGUCCUUCAAAGCUCUAAUACCAACUGUUAGAUUUCUUUAUCUGAAAUACAUAAAGGCAUACCUGGCACCAUCUUUCAUGAGUACAUGACCUCUAAACUCAUUCAACCGCAACAGCAACAAUCCUAGUAAGAAUAGAAACGGCUCAAGACUUCUGCUCUCUCUCAGAAUCUGUUUCAGCUCUCUCUUUAUAAUGAGAUUAGGGUUAGAGAACGUAUCAGACGAGAGCAGGGCCUUAAGCUUAUAUAGGCUAGGUCAAGUCGUCUCUGCUCAUUACCAAGGGUCGACUUGACUAAUCUUCUAAGCCCAUCAAGCAACGGUUCAUGCAAAAGGAAAUAAAUAGGACCCCUUAAUAGGCUUCAAAACAUUUUCUUAUUCCACAAGGUUUUGGGCCUCAAGGUAUAACCUAAUUUAAAUUCUUAUCAAAACCUGAUAUAACUUAGUAUCUAGUGCACCGAUCUAAAUAGGAAACAUAACAAAGUUUUCAUAUUCCCACAUGAAAUGAUAUCAUUCUUUUCCAUAAUGAAGGGCAAAGUACAAAUGGUUGUCAGAUGCCAAGAUUCAGAGCACCGCUUCACUAAGGACUUAGAAUUAGGGUAAUGAUUAAACUGGUCCUUAAUUAAGUACAUUUAGUGUGGUUCUUUUCCUUUGACAAUUCACCAUUUUUUUGUUGUCAAAGUUUGGAAGGGGGAGGUGCCAUUUGGUUUAGGGUUCGAACUUGAGGCCACUGAUCUACAAACACUACUACAAAAAGUGAAAAAGACGACCAGAAAACAACGACGGUCUAAGUGAAAACCGUCGUGGUUUAUAAAAAGACGACGGUUCUAAAAACACCGUCGUGUAAUACAACCUUAGACAACUAAAAAAUGGAGAUUCAAAUGGCUGUUCAAAAACAACGACGUACAUAAUUAAACAACCGACGUCUAUUUGAAACAGAUUUCCGCAGUGUAAAAUCAAUGCCAACAAAGAACGGCAGAAGUUAUGAAUCGACCGACGUAGAAAGUAAAGACGACGAUUUCAAUAAAAACUGCCGUUUUUACUCAUAAAAUAACACGACGAGGUUUUCGUAUAAGACGCCGUAUAAUUACAAACAAAUCCACGGCUUUAAAAUACAAAAUAUCGCCGUAUUAAAUUAAUUUACAACGACGGAAAAUAUAAAUAUAUCGACGUCAUUCUCGUAUAGUUCUACGACGUUAUCUUUAAAUCGUACAAUAAAAUUUAACGUCGUAUUUAUUCAUUUUAUACGUCGUACCUUUAAUUUUAACGGUCGUCUUAAUAAGAAUUUUUGUUAACAAUUUUUUUCUUUGAUUUUCUUAUCCUACGUCGGUAGAUCUACUUAAUGACAAGAAUUGAAAUAACCACGACGGUUUAUAUAGAACACCGCCGACAUAAUCAGAUUUGUCUGAGAUCCCAAGGGUUACGAAAUCUUACCAGAUGGAACUCUGUUCCACAUCAUAAUCUUAACAGAUGACACAGAUUUGCAAAUAUUGCGUCGUGUUAGUUUACAAAUUCUAGAACAUUAAUUUCCCUCAUUUAAAUUUCCUCGGGAAAGAAAAAUCUAUUUAUCACGCUUUGUAAUUGAAAACUAAAACUGAAAGAAUACGGGAAAAAAAACUCUAUUUAUAAUUUAAAAAUAAAAUCCACGUCGGUUGUAGUACACUUAACGACGUUUAACAAAAUAAUCUACGUCGGUAAUUAUAAAUCUACCGCCAUCUUAACUUAAUAUAGACGACGAGAAAAGACGACGGUAGAACAGAAAACCGCCGUUGUUUCAGUUUCUUUGACAGUUUGGUCCUUUUCUUUCUGCAGGACUUGUAUAGUUCAAAGCAUUGACAAUGUCUUCAUCAUAUCUCCCAGAAACUACUGAUUCAAUUGCUCAUGCUUUAGAGGCCAUCUGAAGCCAUUUCUAUUCUUUAUCGCAUUCUUGAAACCCAUCUUCUUCUUCUGAAGCUCUACGGAUAAAGGAAGAGGCUAUCACAAAUCCGACGGAUCUUCUUAGGCAAGAAAAUCAAGCAGAGGAUCAGGCACAUCUGAUCUUCAGAUUUCCCUGAGAAGUGAUCUUUCCUUCGACAGCGAGUGGAGGCCAGGCUUGCAUCUCUUUUGAUGGAAAGCAAGGAGUAUUCAGAAGCACUAAGUGUCCUAUCAGGCUUGAUCAAGGAAGUGAGAAGGCUAGUUGACAAGCUUCUUCUUGUGGACAUAUAUUUGAUGCGAGUAAGCUCAAUUUCUCUUUGAGAAAGACAUCCAAAUUAUUGUCUUUGAGACGUGAGAGACUGAGAGAGGAAGAACUUGGAACCUUAAAUGUAAACCGAAAAUGAAUGAAAGCGACAAAUUUAUAGAAUAAAUUUUUAAAACCAACGGCGGUCCUUACAAAAAAACCGCCGUUUAAAUUGUAAAAUCAACGUUGGUAUUAUCGACGUAUAUUACAGAAAUCCAUGUCGGUAAAUUAAUAAAAACGACGUGUUAAAUAAUCUACCAUGACGCGAGUUAUUACUUAUGUACUUUAAUUUUUGAGUUUACUACGACGGUACCUACAACACUACUGUCGUAUUUAUUUACCACGUUCGAAGUUAAAUGUACCGUCGUAGUUUGUAAUUUAUACGUCGUAGUUAUAUGUAACCGCCGUAUUAUUUUUUUGAAAUGGUUUUAUAUGUAAGCAACUUUUCGUCUACCUGACAUACACAUGCGCUGUUUCCAAACCCGAUUAAAAAGUUCAAUCUCCCAGAGAAAACUUGUAGACUUUUUUUUCUUGUCAGAGCACUGUCAGAGUAUCUCAUCGUCUUCCUCUCUUCUUCUUCAUCGUCUCUGAACAUAAACAUAAUCUUCCUCUUGCUUUCAUUGCACGCAAAAGGUAAGCUUUCAUUUUCACUAUUUUGUUUGCUGUUUUGCAUGCUCAUACGUUUUUUGUUUGAAAAAUCUUUUUACCUUUUUUCUGGCCAAAAUCAUUUUACUUCUUUUCAAGUUCGAUAAAAUAUACAGACAAAGAGGGAAAGUUUCCAACUUUGAAGACAACUACCUCAACUAAAUAAGACGACGGUAGCUUCUUAUGUACGUGGUUAAAUAUGUAGACCACGACGGUUCGUCAGUCGUUCUAGCGUCGUCUGAAAAUUGACAAAGUUGUUUUUAAAAUUAUAGUCUUUUUUUUAUUUGCUUGUUUAAUUGCAGGUUUGAUUUCUCUGAACAAUGGUUUUUGUUUUUCCCUAAUUUGAUAAAAUAUAAAGAAAAAGAAAGUAGGGUUGGUAUCUAAUAUAGACGACAGUAUCUUAUUGUUUUACGUCGUGUGAAUGUUAAUACCACGACGUCAUAUUAAAAUACCGUCGUCUAUAUAAGAUUCCAAAACUUUCUUUCUUGGCCUUAUAUUUUAUCAAAUUAGAAAACAAAAACCAUGGUUCAGAAAAAUCAAAUCUGCAAUCAAACAUUCACAGAGAAAGAAAGAAGGGUUUUGGAUCCUUAUAUAGACGACGGUAUAUUACGACUGACGUCGUGUGAACAUCAAUACCACGACGUUAUAUAAAUAUUUCGUCGUUUAUAGUUAAUUAUCACGUCGUUUAUAGUUAAUUAUUUCGUCGUUGUUUAAUUACCUUGGUUUUAAACAUUUAUUACGUCUGAGAUUAUUUCAUUGCGUCGUUUAAAAUCAUAUCAUACGUCGUAUUUUAUUAAUAACUGUCGUUUGUGUUCUUAAUCUUUUCCUGAAAUAUUUUCACUUGAAGUUUUGUCUGUAAAAAUGGUUUCUCACCAAGACCAAAGUAAGGAUUCUGGCUCCAAGAAAAAUGGAGGUAAGGACCUUGGAAUGUUACCUCCUCAAGUGAAGCCUUCGAAGAAGAUGAAGUUUGCUUCAUCAUCUGCUGAGACAAAACGAACCAGCACGACAACAAUCUCUGAUGAUUCAAAGUCUGGUCGAGGUAUGAGCACAAUGCCUCAUGUUGUGAAGAGAAAACUUCAGAAACUGAAGCCAAUUGUUGAGUACAAUAAAAGGGGGAAAGGAAUUGGCCAAGCACAUAGUGAGAUGCAGUCCUACAUUGGUGUGUUGGCACGCUCCAGAGUUCCACUUGUGGACAUGAAAUGGGCUCAAAUCCCCAAGGAUAUAAAGGAGCAGAUUUGGGAAGCAGUUGACAUUGCUUUUGUGGUAGGUCAAGGGGGCAAGAGCUCUGUGUUAGCUUCUGCUGCCAAGAAAUGGAAGGAUUUCAAGUCUACACUAACGAGGCAAUAUAUCCUUCCAUACACCAAUGACAGGGAGAGAUUAAGCCAACCCCCUGAAACAUAUAAAUUCAUAGAGAAAGCACAAUGGGAUGCCUUUGUAGCUUCAAGGUUAUCCAAAGAUUUUGAGUCUGUGCAUUCUCAACAUGCACAGAUUAGGGAGAAACUUGAGUACAAUCAUCGAUUGUCUCGAAAAGGAUAUGCUGGUUUGGAGGAUCAAUUGGAGGAAACCAUGCCUGGGGUAGAAAUUGAUCGAUCUACCUUAUGGAAGAGAGCUAGACAGGACAAACAUGGUAACAUCCCGGAUCCAAAGGUGGCAGAGAAAGCAAAAUUAAUUGUAAGCCUACUCACUCUGUUUUAAAUUUUUAUUAAACUGUGAAUAAUUCUUAUUACGUCUUAUGUUAUAUUUUGUGUCGUGUGAAUGAUAUUACCACGUCGUUAAAGGUCUAAAUCAGGAAUCACUACUCUGUUUUCUGUAAUUAUAGCAUAAGAUGUCGGUGGUUCAUUUUCGCGUUGUUUGUAUUGAAUUACUACGUCGAAAUGUUUUAAACAAGGUCGUUAAAGGUGUGAAUAUUGAAUCAUCCCUCUGUUAUCUGUAAAUAAAGCAUAAGACGUCGGUGGUUUAUUCAUUUCGUCGUUUUAAAAACUAACCACGUCGAUUUAUAUGUUAUUGCGUCGUGUGAAAUUAUAUAAUACGUCGUUUGUAUAUAAAUAACCGUCGUGUGUUUUUGUUCUUACUUUUUUAUAUAUCUUUGUUUUAGGAUGAAUUGCAAAAACAAGUCUCGGAAGGCAAAGUCACUGUUUCUGGCAGCAAUGAUGUGCUGACCAUGGCUUUGGGCCCCGAGCAUCCAGGCAGAGUGAGAGGAGUAGGUGCUGGGAUCUCACCAAGGCAAUAUUUCAAUUUACCCAAACCACAGAGAGUGAGCUUUGACGACCGUUUGAAGGACAGUUUAAGAGUUCUCCUUCAAGAAGAGACUAAAAAGAUGGAAGCUAAGGCAAGGGAAGAGGCUUUAAGGAUGGAGGCUAGAACGAAACAAUUGGUAGAGGCUGAGAGGGAGCAUUUCCUGAGUCAGCUUUCCCAAUUAAUUCCCAAUUUUGAUCCAAGCAUGCUUAAACCCAGAAUUAGCCAAAGUCCCAAAAAUCCAAUGUCUGACAAAGCAAGCUGCUCUGGAGGUGAUGUGAGAUCCCAGCAUUUUGAGGAUGAUACUGCCAAAAAUGGGAAACAUCAGGAAGAAAAGGUAACAUAUCUGAACUUUGAAUUCUCUGUUUUUUUAAAAACCAUUAGACGUCGUUAUUAUUAAUAAAACCGUCGUUUGAAAUACAUACCACGACGAUUUUAAACAUAAACCGUCGUUUGUAUUUCAAUACCACGUCGUAUUUAGUUUACUUGUUUUACACGCCAUUAAACGUCGUUAUUUUAAAACUUUGUGGUUUUUAGACGACGGAGUUAGUCAUUCUCGACGUAAUAGAUGAAGGGAAGACAGAAGAAAAACAUGAUGAAAAGGAGAAAGAAGAUGACGACCAGGUAUGUUCACAUAACUUUGCCUUUUUUAUUUGUUUUUCAAAAUUCCAGACGUCGAUAUUUUUCUUUAAACCGUCGUUUGUUUACAACUUAGACGGCGGAAUUUUUUUUAAGACGUAAUAAAUUAUUCACCACAACGGUUUCUUCAGACGACGUUUAAAUUCUUUUCAGACGACGUAUUAUUCCUUAAACCGUCGUUUUUAUUGAAUUACCACGUCAUUUUUUUUAUUUCUUUAAACAGGUUAUUAAAGUUGUUGAUUAUUCAAAUAUGGAGGCGCCAUCUUCUUUAAACUCCCUUUGUCGUUAUGUGGAAACGACACUCGUGCCUCAGGAUAAGACCCUGCACUUUACAAUUGAUAAGGAGGUGUUUGGUCUAGAGCGCGAUACCUUCCUCCUGCCUGAAGAUAUUACACAAUUUGCAGGCAUGGAAGAAAUAGGAGCCACUGUCAUUGCUGUAUAUAUGAGGUUUGUCAUUCUAAAAUAAUACGUCGUUGGUGUAUUUAUUGCGUCGUCUUAACCAACUAACCACGUCGUUAGUAUAUCAUAACGUCGUUGUCUAUUUCAGUACGUCGUGUGAAAUUUUAUAAUACGUCGUUUUGUUAUACAUAACCGUCGUGUUUUUUUGUAUAUAUGAGGUUUGUCAUUCUAAAAUAAUACGUCGUUGGUUUAUUUAUUGCGUCGUCUUAACUAACUAACCACGUCGUUAGUAUUUACCGUCGUGAUAAAUAUAUUAUAACGUCGUUGUCUAUUUCAAUACGUCGUGUGAAAUUUUAUAAUACGUCGUUUUGUUAUACAUAACCGUCGUGUGUUUUUUUGUGCUGACUUGUUUAUAUUAUUUUAUAUAUUUAGGCACUGGCACAAUGUUUUGAAGCGAGCAAAUAUGUGCAAUAUGGUUGGCUUUAUCGACCCUGCUACAGUUAGUGCCAGCUCUGGCACAAUAGCUGAGAGAUCACGCCUACUAGCAGCUCGACUUCAGAAGACUGACGGUGAACAGAUUUUCCUGAUGCCUUACAAUCCAGGGUUAGUCUCCUUAACAGGAUUUUGAUUUUAUGAUUUUCAAUAAAUUACAGCGUAUAAACUAACCACGUCGGUGUUUUAUUUUAUUGAGUCGUUUGAAACUUCUAACCACGUCGGUAGUUAUUUAUCGUCGUGAUAAAUGUAAAAUGUCGUUGAUUGCUACUUUAUUUCGUCGUGUGAAAUAUUAUAAUACGUCGUUAUUGUAAAUAACCGUCGUUUUUAUAUUAAUUUUGUGCAGCAGUCAUUGGAUCUUGCUGAUUGUAAGAGCAAAGAGAGAAAUCGUCUAUUUUCUGGAUCCUCUGUCAGGAAAUCGUGUGGUCGAUGAAGAGGCCAAAAACAUUGUGAACAGUGCUAUAAAAAUUUAUUAUUCUCACAUAGCCAGACCAGGCCGUAAGGCAGUCAUUUGGAAAACUCUGUCAGGCACACCAAAGCAACCCAGCAAUGUCGAAUGCGGGUAUUAUGUGAUGCGCUUCAUGAGGGACAUCAUCAUGGAUACUUCCUUGGGGUUUGAGAAGAAAGGUAAGAAGAAAUUACCUUCAUACAUUUUACGUCGUUUUUUGUAUUAUCAACGACGGUCAUGUAAAAUUACAGUCGUUGAAUAGAUAUAGUACGUCGGUUAUGAAAAAUAUCGUCGUCUGUGAUUGAAUUUCUUUUUAUUUAUAAACCCUAAUAGUCAUUGUUUAUGCAGUAUGCCAAGGGAAAACAGGAAGAGCCAUACCCCCAAGAAGCAAUUGAUGAAGUCCGGAAUGAAUGGGCAGAGUUUGUUUGCCUUAACCUGGAAUAGGGGAAUUAUUGAACACUUGAUAUUUAUGUAUAAUGUACAAAUUUUGUCUAUAAUAUAUAAUGUAAAAAUUUGUUGAGGUUUUCUUAAAUUAAAAAAAAAAAAAACAAACAUACAAAUUGCGUAACCGACGUGUAAUACUUUUCCAACGACGUAAUAAAGUCAAAAGCCGUCGUUUUUUGUUGUUUCGUUUUAACCAAAUCCGACGUAAAAGGAUAUUCAGACGACGUUCUUUGAACAAUUGAGUCGUUUAUGGUUUACAACGUCUUCAAUUUCUUAAGGGUUCAGGGUGGUACUUUGUAACGACAGCGGUUAAGUCGUGGAAUAUAUAUUUUACGUCGGAUAGUUAAAUAUCCGCCAUGGUUUCUCAUUUAAACGACGUCAUUUUAACAACUUAGUCGUCUAUUACAAUUUACAACGUCUAAAAUUUAUUAACACCGACGUGGUUUGUUGUUGUGAUAAGAAUAUUUUAUUAUUUUUAUAUCAAAAUAUUCAAAAUAAAUUUAAAAUAAAUCAGAAAAAUGCAAAGUCAACUCCUAUGAAGUCAUUGAUAUAUUUUCUUCCCCCUAAACCUUGAAAAAAUUCAUUUUGAAUAACAAAAAUUUAAAAUGACCAUCCAAAACAAAAUUGUUUUGAUGAGUCAUAAAAUCACUUCUAGUUUUAUGGUUUAGGGUUUAGAGUCUAGGGUUUAGAGAUUAGGGUUGUUAUUUAUUGGGGUUUAUUUUUAAAGUAUAAUUUUUGGGUAGUAUAGGGUAUAUAUUAGGCUGUAAAACCAUAAACCCUUUUAUAAACUUAAUUUUUAAAAUUAUAUAAUUUAGUUUUAAGGGUUUAGGGUAUUAAUUGUUAACGACGGUGGUUGAGUCGUGGAAUACAUAUGUUACGUCGUGCAGUAAAAUAUCCGACAUGGUUUAUGCUUUAAACGACGUCAUUUUAAUAUGUAAGUCGUCUAUUAUAAUUUACAACGUUUUCAAUUUCUUAACUUCGACGUGGUUUUUCAGUCGUCUUUAUAUCAAAAUAUUCAAAAUAAAUUUAAAAUUAAUCCGAAAAAUGAAGCGUCAAAAUAAACGGCGUUACGUUCAGUGUUUCCGUCGUGGAAUAUUACAUUUACGUCGGUUCUUGUAGAACUUUCGCCAUGAUUUUUCUUUCGACGUUUUAAAGAGCGCGCGCUCUAAAAAUUUUCGCGCGCCCUAAAUUUUUUUAUAUUUGGCUCUUAUUCUUAUACUUCUAACCCUGAACCCUAAAAUUUUCAGAUUUCGCGCAACAUAACAUUCGCUCUCUCACUUCUGCUCUAAUUAAAAGUUGCACUCUCCAGGCUCCGUCGAAUAUGUGAGCUCGUCCAACCUGUAAGUACAAACCCUAUCUUUGUAUAAUCUGCUAUAGUGAUGGUCAUUGCCUGUAUUUUCACUUUAUUAUAGAUAAUAGGUUAUAGUGUCGGAGAUGGAUAAGUCAUGGAUGCACUCGGAUAGAAGAUCGAAGGCAUAUGAGUUUGGGGUGGAAGCAUUUUUGAACUUUGCUGUAGAAAAUCUUCUAACUACAACACAUAUCCGUUGUCCAUGACAAGAUCAAAUAAAGUGUACUUUUGCUGGAGAUGGAUUAAUGUUUCAUGCUAGUAUUUUGGGAAAGUGCUUACUUGCUUGGUUUCAUAUAUAUGUUGUGUUCUUAAUGGGUUUUGUGUUCUUGAAAAUAAACUGAGACACGACGAAUUUUAAGGCAUACGACGACGAUUACACGACGGUUUUUUUAAACUACCGUCGUUGUAUUACUUAUACACGACGGUUUUUUCAUAAACCGUCGUUUGUAUUACUUAUAAUAGACGACGUCUGUUGAAAAUCCGUCGUCUAUAUAUGCCAAAUACGUCUAUUUUUGUUUAAAACCCGUCGUCUCUGUUGUGUAUUACUUGCGAUUAGAUCAUUGUAUAAUCUGCUAUAGUGAUGGUCAUUGCCUGUAUUUUCACUUUAUUAUAGAUAAUAGGUUAUAGUGUCGGAGAUGGAUAAGUCAUGGAUGCACUCGGAUAGAAGAUCGAAGGCAUAUGAAUUUGGGGUGGAAGCAUUUUUGAACUUUGCUGUAGAAAAUCUUCUAACUACAACACAUAUCCGUUGUCCAUGUGUUAAAUGUGUUAAUUUGAAGUUGUUUGGGGUUGGAAUUAUAAGGGAUCACUUAUACUUUAAUGGAAUUGACCAAAGCUAUAAGAAUUGGACAUUUCACGGAGAACCUUGGGAAGCAACUACUAAUGCUAGUAGAAAUGUUGAAGAAGAUGAUGGCCAUAGUAGGUACAGUUUUGUGUCUGAAGAAAUUGAUAUGGAUGAUAAUGAUUUUGGUGAUUUUGGUUCGGAUCCGUAUGAGUUUGCCAAUGUGAUUGGGGAUGGAGAUCAACCAGUGUACCCUGGUUGUAGAAAGUACACGAAGUUAUCGGCAUUAGUGAAGUUGUAUAAUUUGAAGGCAAAACAUGGGAUGAGUGAUGUCUGUUUUACAGAAUUAUUGAUACUUCAAGGCGAUUUGCUUACAGAAGGAAAUACAAUACCAACCUCCAUGUAUGAGGCUAAAAAGACUUUGUGUGCAUUGGGGCUGAGUUAUGAGAAAAUGCACGCAUGCCUCAAUGAUUGCAUCUUGUAUAGGAAGGAGUAUGAGGAUUCAACUAAUUGUCCUACUUGUGGUAUCUCAAGGUGGAAGGAAGGCAAAGAUUCAAUCUUGAAAGAGGGUGUGCCAGCGAAGGUGGUGUGGUAUUUUCCCCCAAUUCCAAGGUUUAAAAGGAUGUUUCAAUCACAUGAGACAGCUAAGAGUUUGACUUGGUGGCAUGUUGCUAGAAAAUCAAUUGACGGUCAGAUGUCUCAUCCGGCGGAUUCCCCGUCUUGGAAACUUCUUGAUGAUAAAUGGCCUGAGUUUGGUAAUGAGCCGAGAAACUUGAGAUUGGCUCUUUCAUCUGAUGGAUUCAAUCCCCACAGUUCUCUAAGUAGCAGAUAUAGUUGUUGGCCGGUUAUCUUAGUUACAUAUAAUCUCCCUCCAUGGCUGUGCAUGAAACGAAAGUUCAUGAUGUUAACCUUAUUGAUUUCCGGUCCUAAACAACCCGGAAAUGAUAUAGACGUCUACUUGGAGCCUUUGAUUGAUGAUUUAAAAUUCUUGUGGGUUGGGAUUAGAGGAGUGUAUGAUGCACAUAAUGGAGAAUACUUUACACUCAGAGCUGCAUUAAUGUGGACAAUUAAUGAUUUCCCCGCCUAUGGAAACUUAUCUGGUUGUGUUGUUAAAGGAUAUAAAGCUUGUCCAAUAUGCGGCGAUGAUACACCUAGUCACAGGUUGAAAAAUGGCCACAAAAUUUGUUACAUUGGGCAUAGAAAAUGGUUACCAAUCAAUCAUCCAUAUAGGAGGCAACGUGCAGCUUUUAAUGGAAAACCUGAAUAUGGCAUACCUCCCGAGCCAUUAACCGGAGAAGAAGUGCUGCAUAUGGUUGAAAAUGGUGACAGAGUUUGUUGGAAGAAGAAAUCAAUAUUCUUUGAUCUCGAGUAUUGGAAAUACCUUCCUGUGAGGCAUGCCCUAGAUGUUAUGCACAUUGAGAAGAAUGUUUGCGAUAGUAUCAUUGGUACAUUGCUGGAGAUCCCUGGAAAAAAUAAAGAUGGGAUUGCUGCUCGAUUAGAUUUAUUGAACAUGGGGGUCAAAACUGAUUUGCAACCCGAGUAUGGAGAAAGACGUACUCGUUUGCCUCCUGGGCCUUGGAAUUUGUCAAGAGCAGAGAAGAGAGAGGUUUGCAAUUCUUUCUAUGGUAUGAAGGUCCCUGAAGGUUAUUCUUCAAAUAUUAAAAAUCUUGUAUCUUUACAAGAUUCAAGACUUCUUGGCCUUAAAUCACAUGAUUGUCAUACCUUAAUGCAACAAUUGCUCCCUGUGGCAAUUCGUUCUGUUUUGGAGAAGCCUGCAAGGUAUGCAAUAACUCGUUUGUGCUUCUUCUUCAAUGCUAUAUGUGCAAAGACUGUUGAUGUUUCCAAGCUAGAUAAGUUGGAAGAAGAUGUAGUAGUUACUCUGUGUUUGCUUGAGAAGUACUUUCCCCCUUCAUUCUUUGAUAUCAUGGUUCAUCUAGUAGUACAUCUUGUCAGAGAAGUUCGUCUAUGUGGGCCAGUAUAUUUUAGGUGGAUGUAUCCGUUUGAAAGAUAUAUGAAAGUGCUGAAGGGGUAUGUUCAGAAUCGUACUCGUCCCGAAGGUUGCAUUGCUGAGCGGUAUAUAGCUGAAGAAGCGGUAGAGUUUUGUACUCAGCAUUUAUCUGAUGUUAGUACAGUUGGAGUGCCUUCAAGCCAAAAGAUGGGACUUUCAAAGCCAUUAUCAGGUUGCACAGUGAGCGUAGUUGAUCAGGACCUGUUGAAUCAAGCACAUCUAUAUGUCUUGGAGAAUACGGAGGAAGUCCUACCUUAUAUCGAGUACGUAUGAGCUUUAUUCUUUAAGUUUCCAUUUUAAAUUAUUUCUUAUGUUUAUCUUCUAUAUUUAGGACCGUAAUGCUUGAAUUUUUCGUGUCAUGUAGGCAACAUAUGAUCCACAUCAAGAUUGCUUAUCCAAAAUUUAGAAAGAGAACAAAGUGGCUGCAGGAUAAGCACAAUAGCACUUUCAUUUAAUGGCUACGCUUCAAGGUAUAUGUUGUUGAAUAACAUAUUUCUCUUUUAAUUUUCUUCUUAUUUAUAUGUUAGAUUGAAUUAAGAUAUGAUUAAUUUGCAGGUUCAAAGUGAACUUGAGGAAGACAAUCAUGGCGUAUCAGAAAAUUUAAGGUGGCUAGCAGCUGGUCCAAACAUGUCAGUGCCAUUAUAUAGGAGCUAUCUUAUUAAAGGUAUUAAAUUCAAUAUCAAGGCACAAGAUGAUGUGCGGACAACUCAAAAUAGUGGAGUUUAUUUACUUGCACAUACCAUGCAAGUUGCUAGUACCAAGGAUAAAAACCCAAUUCUCUCAAAUAUGGGUUUCUAUGGUGUCAUUCAAGAAAUUUGGGACCUUGACUACCAAAAGUUUACAAUCCCAGUCUUUAGGUGUGAUUGGAUAGAUAGUUCUGGUCUUGUAGUCGACGAACUUGGAUUUACCCUUGUAGAUUUGAGUAAAAUUGGACAUAGGAAUGACCAAUUUGUUUUGGCUUCUCAAGUCAAACAAAUAUUUUUUGUUGACGACCCGAUGCAUCGUGGUUGGUCGGUAGUGUUAUCAAUGCCUAAUAGAGAAUAUAAUGAUGUUAUUGGUGAUGAAGUCUUAGGUGAUGUGAUAAUUGAGUGUGAGCCAUUUACUAGAGGGAUGCCAAAUGUUGACACAUUUGAUGAACUGGUGGCUGAGUUAGGCGGUCAAAAUAUUCGAGAUGGGUGUGAAGAUAUAUGGAUUGAAUGAUGCUUAUGUAAUUGGCAGUGUAUGACAUUAAUUUUGUAAUAUAUUGUAAUGUGAUUUCUUCACUUUCUACGUUCAAAUAAAACACGACGUUAUUGUGAACCAGUUAUUCAGCAUAUUUACCGACGUCUUAAAGCAACGUGACAAUGAAGAAUCACGACGCUAUUGUGAAGCAAUUAUUCAGGAUAUCACGUCGGGGAAGGAUUAAGAACCGCCAUGUAAUUCAAAAUAACACGACUCCAAUCCCAUAAUACCGACGUCUAAAAAACGAGAUAUAUAAUCUGAACGUUAAAAAAUACGACGUCAUCAUACAUUUUUCACGUCGCAAGUUCUUUUAUAAACGAAGAGGAACGAAAUGAAUUCCGACGGAAAUUCAUUAUAACCGCCGUCUAAUAACAAUUAAACGACGUUAUUUGUAAUACGGCUCUCAUCAUAAUCAACGCCGUCUAUAUGUUCUGUAAUACGGCUCUCAUUUAUUUAAAACCGACGUUGUUUAGAAGUUCAACGUCGUCUAUAUUAUUAAGUGCGUCGUGAGUAAUGACGAUAGAUAUAAAUACAACGUCGACUAUAUAAAUGACACCGACGUUGUUUCGCAUUUCAACGUCAACUGUAUAAAUACAUACGUCGUAAAUAAUGACACUGACAACUAUUUCCACGUCAUCUUUUUUAGAAAAAUCGAAGUGGAAAAUUUAUUUCACGACGGUUGUUUGUAAAUAAGAGACGUAGUAUAUUUCAAUAACGUCGUCUUCUCAUGUAUUUAAAGACGUCAUAUUUUUUCUUGUCGUGUAAAUUAUAUUUAACGGCGUUGUAUUUUAGUUGUCGUCGUUGUAUGUAUAUCUUGCGGCCUUGUUCUUUUAACAUGUGUCAUAUUUUUCCUUUUUAACGACGGUGAUUUGUUUGAGUUGGUCGUCUAUUCUCAUCCUCGACUAUUUUCUAGAACUUUAGCAGACUAAACACGUCUGUUUUUAUUGUUUGCCGACGUUGUUUUAUUUAACAACGUCUAAUAUUUAUCGUCGUUGUUUGUUUCUGAAAAUAUGACGUAUAAAUUUUGUAAUACGACUCUCAUAUAUGUGUAACCGACGUUGUUUCGUUUUUCAACGUCUACUCUAUAAAUACAUACGUCGUAAAUAAUGACACUGACAACUAUUUCCACGUCAUCUUUUAUCGAAAAAUCGAAGUGGAAAAUUAAUUUUACGACGGCUGUUUUUAUAUAUGCGACGUAGUAGGUUUCAAUAACGUCGUCUUCUAAUGUAUUUAAAGACGUCAAAUUUUUUAUUGUCGUGAAAAUGAUAUUUAACGGCGUCGUAUUUUUAUUUUCGUCGUUGUAUGUCUAUCUUGCGGCCUUGUUCUCUUAAUAUGUGUCAUAUUUUUCCUUUUUAACGACGGUUUUUUUAGAGAGUUGGUCGUCUAUUCUCAUCCUCGACUGCUUUUUUAGAUCUUUUUGCAGUACAAAGACGUCGUUUUGUAUUUGUUGAUGACGUUGUAUAUUUUAACAACGACGGUGAUUUAGCGUCGUGGUUUAUCAGGGAAAAGAUGACGGUGGAUUCCACCACCAUUGAAAAACCGAAUACACGACGGUGAUUUACCGUCGUCUUUUUGCUUUUUUGUAGUAGUGAAACAAGUGCUCAACCAUUGAGCUGUGGACCCGUUGGCUUGACAAUUCACCAUUUGAGUCUAAUUAGUCCAGAAAAAGUCUUAUGUGCUGAGGGCUUGAGGUUGAUUCUUUGGAAUUAAUGAAAAAUAUUUUCUUCAACUGAUAAGAUGCAAAUUUACUAUCACACAGUAGCCAUAUAACAGCAAGAACAAGCAGAAAUAUUACAAUGCAAAAGUUGAUAGUAAAGUUCCAACUUCCAAGAACAGUCUCUUCUUUCAUUGUCAUCUUUCUUCUCUCUCUCUCCUUUCAUCCCUUAACAAUAUGGGCUUAGGUGAAAGAACACUAGGCUAGCAUUAGGGAACCAGAGGAGGGAGUGGUUUCCCAAGGAAAGGAUGUGGAGGAAAUGUUGGAAUGGGUGGAGGAAGAGGAUUCUUGAAAAUAGGAUGGGGAAAUGGUUUCUUGUAUACAGGAAUUAGUGGAGGAAGUGGCUUCUUAUAGAUUGGAACAGGAGGUAGAGAUGGCUUCUUGAAUUUUGGAAGGUAAUGAAAAAAUGGCUUCUUUACAAAUGGUUUUCCUUCCACAACUGGUACCGGCGGAUGACCCGGCUUCUUGAAGGGUGGAAUCUUGAAGACUGGAACAGGUGGAGGGAGUGGCUUCUUGAAGAAGGGCUUUGGUGGAAAUGGCUUCUUUACAAUGGGAAUCUUAGGUGAAGGAUGUUUCUUAAAGACAAACUUCCCUUCUUCAUUGAGCUCUGCAGACUCUGUUUGCAGCUCUUCAAUUCUACAUGUGCACAAAGAGAUGCAGAAGAAUGUUACUCAUCAGAAAAACAAUUAACAAAAAAAUAACAUACCUAGAGAUUUCAGUAAGUAAUUCAAAAUAAUGAGGAGCAAUGAAGGGGUCUGUUUUGUAACUUUUGUUAUUGUAUUGUGCUACAUUGCUAGAGCUGUCAAGUAGCCUAAGUAGCUUCCUUCUAAAAGAAAAUUUGUAGUGUAAUCAAGUAGCCUAAAAGAACUAUUUGAUCACACUAAGACUAAUAGCUUCCCCUCUAGACGUUAUUACCGUGCGUAUGCCAUGUAUUUUCUACUACCCCUCUUUGUUCUCCUCCGUGUUUACAAUGGCAUCCACAAGGUAAUAAUGUGUGGACGUCCGAUGAAAGAAGAACUCUAUAUAUAUAUAUAUAUAUAUUAUAUAUCUCACCUGAAUUAGCUUUGUCUAGUGCUUGUUCUCCAGCUUCCUCAAUAGUCUCUGCAUUGCUGUAGCAGAAGCUUACAGCAAACAAGCACAACCAGAGACCCAGAAGGGCCCCUUGGAAAAUAAGACGGGUCUGCAUUGAAAAAUCCUGCAACACUAAAAUGGUAUAAAAGUAGUAGAUCCAACUUUUACACGUUGGUUAAGCUGGGUUUGAUGCUCUUUAUCAGUUCCAGCAACCUUGUUAUUUAUAGUAAAUUAGAUGAACUGUUUAGGAGGCUCAUGUGCUUGCACUUAAUAAUUAAUUGAAGGAUUGAUGUCAACUUCAUUAAGAUUGAAAAGGAUCUCAGUACAAAGAGGCAACAUGCUCACCGGCUUUGCAGUUCAAAUGGUAUUUAUUUUCAUUCACUGACUUUCCACUUCCCUAACUUCUACCAGCAUAAUUGAGCCUUCUGACUAUCAGAGGAUAUGCUACUAACUAUGAAGUCACAUUUUGGCAUUUGGGUACUAAUCAGUGGCGAAGCUAGAAUUUCAUGUGUGUGGGGCCUCUCACAAAUAUAAACAAUAAAAAAUUUGAACUCACAUGACAUACCAAAACAUCAAAAAUCAUAUUGUGUAUUCAUUACAAUCAUCAUCGUUCUUGACGAGUUUUCAUAUUUUGAAAUCGUUGCAUAACAACCUCGUCAUCUAUACUAUUGGAAAUGUCUCUCUCAAUAUAUGCAACGAAGCAAUCAUUUAUACAUAAAUUGAAAGAUCAAUUAAAAUCAAUAAAAAGAAGGAAAAAAAUCAAAAUUUUAUGAACUAAAAAUAAAUAAAUAAAGAAAAAAAAUAAAAAAGUGAACUACUAAAAAAACUUUAAUUGAAUAAAUUAACCUAAUUAAAACUUGAUAUUGAAUAAAUUAACCUUAUUAAAACUUGAUAGUUUAAUAUGGAGUUUGAGAGAAAAACUCACAGGCAAUGCAUUGAGAAAGUCUGCUUUGCUGCUUGUGUAUCUCCAAGAAAGGAGAAAAAUGGUUAGGAUUUUAUCAAUUUUUGUAAAAGGGUAAAUAUAUAAUAAUAAGAGCCAUAAACCUUUGGAAAAAGGAAAGAAAAGUGGAGUUUGGUGGAAAGGAAAACAGGAUUUGGCUGCUGGCCCACGUGAUAAAAUAAACAUAUUAAUUAAUAUAGAUUAUUCAAUAACAGCAAUACAUAUUACAUUUUUAAAAAAAGAAAAAAAGUUGAGUAGGGGCCUGUGACAGCCCUGGUCCUUACUUGCCUCCGCCCCUGGUACUAAUCCCAAGCUUAAUUUGUCAUGACAUGUUGCCGGAAUAAUAUUUAGUGAUCCUUUAGAUUGUAAUGAGAUGUUUACUAACUUGUAAUCAAAACAACAAGAAUGAACCAGAAGGAGUGAGAGUCGGAAUCAAUCAUUUCCACGAUGAUUUUCUUCCAAUAUUUAUUCACCUAGUUGAUAUAUGACAACGACAUGCUAGUAUCUUGUUGGAAAUACAAUUUUUUUUUCUCUUAAGAAAUAAAAGAAAUUAAAAAUAUGCUUAAAUAUACGAAAAAAAAAUUAUAACUUAUUCUGAUGUCCACAGCAUAUAUACUCAGUAAAAAAUAAUAAUAAUAAUAAAAUAAAAAAUAAAAAAUUACUCACAUUACUUGUUUCCUUAUACUGCAGGACUUCAGACAAAGCCAAUGAUUUGCGCCUCUUCAACUCUUGAGCAAUAUUAAUAAUGUACGUUGAUUUUCUAGAACUACCAAAUAUAAUCUAGACGUCUAAGCAUCCAGGUUCUCUCAAAUUGCUCAUUAAAAUUUUCAUUAAAUAGCGUGUGGGAAAAUAUGACAAGGAGGUAUGAAUGGACGCAUUCUUAUUUAAUACUAUACCCUAGGUCCCUAAUAAAUUAAUCAUGUUGUUCACCAUUUAUAACAUGUGAACUAGUAACACAAUGUUUCGACAAAAAAAGAAAAGAAAAGAAGUAGUAACACAAGGAGGUGUGAGGUGAGGAACACAUUGAGAAAACUUUCUUAUAUAUGCUACCAAGGUACUAGCUACGAGGUUAUAUUUUUUAGAAAUUCUUCGGUGUGACGAUUAUCACUUGAGCUACAAGCCCUUGCAUGUUACCAAUCUAUUUAUAUUAUAACACCUAUAUCUAUUAAUUAAUACUAUACCUUUUUUUUUUUACAAUUAAUACUACACCAUAUUCAUGACUUAUCAAUUAUGACACACACUCAUAUUAUAAUAUGUUUUUUUUUCUUUUCCAGAAAUUCUAGAAUUGCAUUCAUAAUUCAACCAAAAAAGUCAUUAGCCACAAUGGGCAUUACAAUAACGGAACGAUCUAAAAUCAAAAUUAGGACAAAAUGAUCACACAUGAUCGAAGAAACUUUGGCAUAAGCAUCCCAAUUAAGUGCAAACUCAGAAUAACAAAAAGAGUGUUGCUAUUUCCACCCUCCUGUCCUAUUUCCCCACCCACCUUAUCUUCACACCCAUCAUGUAAAUUUGAAAAAACACAAUUUUAUCUUUCUACCCACCAUUAUUCCAAACAUACCCUUUAAUUAUUAAUUCAAACAAUUUCUCUCUGUCAUUUGUUUCUUGAUGAGAUACUAACUUGCCAAGACAGAUAAAUUGGAAAUAAAUUAAGAAUUGAUGAGGGUAUUGCUUUUGUGAUGGCACUUUUUAAUUACUGUGGUUUCUUCUGGGCAUAGUUAUAACAUGAGAGAAGAUGAAUAAUCAAGGGAUAGCCUGUAAUAUUGUCUUCUUUUUAUAUUAGUUUGAUUUAGGUAUCUAUUUCACUCGUGGAAUCAUUUGCUCUGUUCAUUAACCUGAAUGAAAAUUAGACAACUUUAUAGCUGCAUGUCGCAUGACUUAAUAUAAUCAUGUCAAUCAAUAACAUCAGAGCGUUCUAGUAUUCUCUUGAAAUAUAUUUUGAAACGUAUAGGAUAGGGGUAAAUUUGAAGAGAGCCAAGUCCUUAGAAGUAAUUUUACAAAGGGAUAAAUUUGUUUUUAAAAUGUUGAAGACAAGGUAGGUGGGAAAAUAGGACAUGUGGGUGGAAAUAACAGCACUCUAACAAAAAAUAGAUAAAACUUGAAAACACCAGGCCAUAACAACACAAAGAAUGAUAGGAAAUUAGCUCCAAGGGUCACUCUCUCGCUAAGCAAGGAGAGCCGCACGUCAUAUCUAGGGUACCCCCUCAAGGUCAACCACCGCCGUCAUGCACCCAGCCGUCGUCAUUCCUACUUUGCCCAUGAUAGGUGUCGUCAUUGUCUCUCCUUCUCGCCAUGAGCGACUCGUUUUGUCUCUCCCUUCUCCACUUGGGCUCAUCGCAGGUGCUAAUCGACUGGUCCCUUGAGAUUUUAUUAGGUUGGUCUGGUAUCAAUUGUUAACACGGUCAGAAUUAGGGCUCUCUGCCCUCGUGUCUCACAAGCGCCUCCUACCUAUUGGUUUCAUUGUCUGUGACUCCGGGUCCCUGCCGGUGUUUUCCUAAGCGUGCUAGUGUUGUGGUAAUUCUUUGGAUUUUUUCUCUCCUGUCUCUGUCUUUCUCCUUAGCAUGGUGUGGUUUUUUUUUUCUUCGGCUUGGCUCAAUGGUUAGAGUGGAAAUUCUGGUCUCUGCUAUGUCUGUAUUAAGCUAGAACAUGCGGGAGCUUGGCAACCGUCAUAUGUUCCGUGAUCUCAGAAACCUCUUACAUGACAAAACACCAGAUAUUGUUUUCCUUACUGAGACUCAUAUGACCGUUGUCCAGAUGGGCGGAUUGGUUCGAAGACUUGGGGUGGUUGGAGUCCUCUGUGUUCCCCGUGAAGGGUUCUCUGGUGGUCUCUGUAUUCUUUGAAACCCUGGUUUACAGGUUGUGUUGCUCUCAUCCUCUUCGACACAUAUUGAUGCUUGGGUUACCUUUCCUACACUACUACAAAAAGUGAAAAAGACGACCAGAAAACAACGACGGUCAAAGUGAAAACCGUCGUGGUUUUUAAAAAGACGACGGUUCUUAAAACACCGUCGUGUAAUACAACCUUAGACAACUAAAAAAUGGAGAUUCAAAUGGCUGUUCAAAAACAACGACGUACAUAAUUAAACAACCGACGUCUAUUUGAAACAGAUUUCCGCAUUGUAAAAUCAAUGCCAACAAAGAACGGCAGAAGUUAUGAAUCGACCGACGUAGAAAGUAAAGACGACGAUUUCAAUAAAAACUGCCGUUUUUACUCAUAAAAUAACACGACGAGGUUUUCGUAUAAGACGCCGUAUAAUUACAAACAAAUCCACGGCUUUAAAAUACAAAAUAUCACCGUAUUAAAUUAAUGUACAACGACGGAAAAUAUAAAUAUAUCGACGUCAUUCUCGUAUNNNNNNNNNNNNNNNNNNNNNNNNNNNNNNNNNNNNNNNNNNNNNNNNNNNNNNNNNNNNNNNNNNNNNNNNNNNNNNNNNNNNNNNNNNNNNNNNNNNNCGUCGUACCUUUAAUUUUAACCGUCGUCUUAAUAAGAAUUUUUAUUAACAAUUUUUUUCUUUGAUUUUCUUAUCCUACGUCGGUAGAUCUACUUAAUGACAAGAAUUGAAAUAACCACGACGGUUUAUAUAGAAAACCGCCGACAUAAUCAGAUUUGUCUGAGAUCCCAAGGGUUACGAAAUCUUACCAGAUGGAACUCUGUUCCACAUCAUAAUCUUAACAGAUGACACAGAUUUGCAAAUAUUGCGUCGUGUUAGUUUACAAAUUCUAGAACAUUAAUUUCCCUCAUUUUAAAUUUCCUCGGGAAAGAAAAAUCUAUUUAUCACGCUUUGUAAUUGAAAACUAAAACUGAAAGAAUACGGGAAAAAAAACUCUAUUUAUAAUUUAAAAAUAAAAUCCACGUCAGUUGUAGUACACUUAACGACGUUUAACAAAAUAAUCUACGUCGGUAAUUAUAAAUCUACCGCCAUCUUACCUUAAUAUAGACGACGAGAAAAGACGACGGUAGAACAGAAAACCGCCGUUGUUUCAGUUUCUUUAACAGUUUGGUCCUUUCUCUUUCUGCAGGACUUGUAUAGUUCAAAGCAUUGACAAUGUCUUCAUCAUAUCUCCCAGCAACUACUGAUUCGAUUGCUCAUGCUUUAGACGCCCUCUGAAGCCAUUUCUAUUCUUUAUCGCAUUCUUGAAACCCAUCUUCUUCUUCUGAAGCUCUACGGAUAAAGGAAGAGGCUACCACAAAUCUGAUGGAUCUUCUUAGCCAAGAAAAUCAAGAAGAUUUCCCUGAGAAGCGAACUUUCCUUCAACAGCGAGUGGAGGCCAGGCUUGCAUCUCUUUUGAUGGAAAGCAAGGAGUAUUCAGAAGCACUAAGUGUCCUAUCAGGCUUGAUCAAGGAAGUGAGAAGGCUAGUUGACAAGCUUCUUCUUGUGGACAUAUAUUUGAUGCGAGUAAGCUCAAUUUCUCUUUGAGAAAGACAUCCAAAUUAUUGUCUUUGAGACGUGAGAGACUGAGAGAGGAAGAACUUGGAACCUUAAAUGUAAACCGAAAAUGAAUGAAAGCGACAAAUUUAUAGAAUAAAUUUUUAAAACCAACGGCGGUCCUUACAAAAAAACCGCCGUUUAAAUUGUAAAAUCAACGUCGGUAUUAUCGACGUAUAUUACAGAAAUCCACGUCGGUAAAUUAAUAAAAACGACGUGUUAAAUAAUCUACCAUGACGCGAGUUAUUACUUAUGUACUUUAAUUUUUGAGUUUACUACGACGGUACCUACAACACUACUGUCGUAUUUAUUUACCACGUCCGAAGUUAAAUGUACCGUCGUAGUUUGUAAUUUAUACGUCGUAGUUAUAUGUAACCGCCGUAUUAUUUUUUUGAAAUGGUUUUAUAUGUAAGCAACUUUUCGUCUACCUGACAUACACAUGCGCUGUUUCCAAACCCGAUUAAAAAGUUCAAUCUCCCAGAGAAAACUUUUAGACUUUUUUUCUUGCCAGAGCACUGUCAGAGUAUCUCAUCGUCUUCCUCUCUUCUUCUUCAUCGUCUCUGAACAUAAACAUAAUAUUCCUCUUGCUUUCAUUGCACGCAAAAGGUAAGCUUUCAUUUUCACUAUUUUGUUUGCUGUUUUGCAUGCUCAUACGUUUUUUGUUUGAAAAAUCUUUUUACCUUUUUUCUGGCCAAAAUCAUUUUACUUCUUUCCAAGUUCGAUAAAAUAUACAGACAAAGAGGGAAAGUUUCUAACUUUGAAGACAACUACCUCAACUAAAUAAGACGACGGUAGCUUCUUAUGUACGUGGUUAAAUAUGUAGACCACGACGGUUCGUCAGUCGUUCUAGCGUCGUCUGAAAAUUGACAAAGUUGUUUUUAAAAUUAUAGUCUUUUUUUUAUUUGCUUGUUUAAUUGUAGGUUUGAUUUCUCUGAACAAUGGUUUUUGUUUUUCCCUAAUUUGAUAAAAUAUAAAGAAAAAGAAAGUAGGGUUGGUAUCUAAUAUAGACAACAGUAUCUUAUUGUUUUACGUCGUGUGAAUGUUAAUACCACGACGUCAUAUUAAAAUACCGUCGUCUAUAUAAGAUUCCAAAACUUUCUUUCUUGGCCUUGUAUUUUAUCAAAUUAGAAAACAAAAACCAUGGUUCAGAAAAAUCAAAUCUGCAAUCAAACAUUCACAGAGAAAGAAAGAAGGGUUUUGGAUCCUUAUAUAGACGACGGUAUAUUACGACUGACGUCGUGUGAACAUCAAUACCACGACGUUAUAUAAAUAUUUCGUCGUUUAUAGUUAAUUAUCACGUCGUUUAUAGUUAAUUAUUUCGUCGUUGUUUAAUUACCUUGGUUUUAAACAUUUAUUACGUCUGAGAUUAUUUCAUUGCGUCGUUUAAAAUCAUAUCAUACGUCGUAUUUUAUUAAUAACUGUCGUUUGUGUUCUUAAUCUUUUCCUGAAAUAUUUUCACUUGAAGUUUUGUCUGUAAAAAUGGUUUCUCACCAAGACCAAAGUAAGGAUUCUGGCUCCAAGAAAAAUGGAGGUAAGGACCUUGGAAUGUUACCUCCUCAAGUGAAGCCUUCGAAGAAGAUGAAGUUUGCUUCAUCAUCUGCUGAGACAAAACGAACCAGCACGACAACAAUCUCUGAUGAUUCAAAGUCUGGUCGAGGUAUGAGCACAAUGCCUCAUGUUGUGAAGAGAAAACUUCAGAAACUGAAGCCAAUUGUUGAGUACAAUAAAAGGGGGAAAGGAAUUGGCCAAGCACAUAGUGAGAUGCAGUCCUACAUUGGUGUGUUGGCACGCUCCAGAGUUCCACUUGUGGACAUGAAAUGGGCUCAAAUCCCUAAGGAUAUAAAGGAGCAGAUUUGGGAAGCAGUUGACAUUGCUUUUGUGGUAGGUCAAGGGGGCAAGAGCUCUGUGUUAGCUUCUGCUGCCAAGAAAUGGAAGGAUUUCAAGUCUACACUAACGAGGCAAUAUAUCCUUCCAUACACCAAUGACAGGGAGAGAUUAAGCCAACCCCCUGAAACAUAUAAAUUCAUAGAGAAAGCACAAUGGGAUGCCUUUGUAGCUUCAAGGUUAUCCAAAGAUUUUGAGUCUGUGCAUUCUCAACAUGCACAGAUUAGGGAGAAACUUGAGUACAAUCAUCGAUUGUCUCGAAAAGGAUAUGCUGGUUUGGAGGAUCAAUUGGAGGAAACCAUGCCUGGGGUAGAAAUUGAUCGAUCUACCUUAUGGAAGAGAGCUAGACAGGACAAACAUGGUAACAUCCCGGAUCCAAAGGUGGCAGAGAAAGCAAAAUUAAUUGUAAGCCUACUCACUCUGUUUUAAAUUUUUAUUAAACUGUGAAUAAUUCUUAUUAUGUCUUAUGUUAUAUUUUGUGUCGUGUGAAUGAUAUUACCACGUCGUUAAAGGUCUAAAUCAGGAAUCACUACUCUGUUUUCUGUAAUUAUAGCAUAAGAUGUCGGUGGUUCAUUUUCGCGUUGUUUGUAUUGAAUUACUACGUCGAAAUGUUUUAAACAAGGUCGUUAAAGGUGUGAAUAUUGAAUCAUCCCUCUGUUAUCUGUAAAUAAAGCAUAAGACGUCGGUGGUUUAUUCAUUUCGUCGUUUUAAAAACUAACCACGUCGGUUUAAAAACUACCGUCGUGAUAAAUUAUAAUAACGUCGAUUUAUAUGUUAUUGCGUCGUGUGAAAUUAUAUAAUACGUCGUUUGUAUAUAAAUAACCGUCAUGUGUUUUUGUUCUUACUUUUUUAUAUAUCUUUGUUUUAGGAUGAAUUGCAAAAACAAGGCUCGGAAGGCAAAGUCACUGUUUCUGGCAGCAAUGAUGUGCUGACCAUGGCUUUGGGCCCCGAGCAUCCAGGCAGAGUGAGAGGAGUAGGUGCUGGGAUCUCACCAAGGCAAUAUUUCAAUUUACCCAAACCACAGAGAGUGAGCUUUGACGACCGUUUGAAGGACAGUUUAAGAGUUCUCCUUCAAGAAGAGACUAAAAAGAUGGAAGCUAAGGCAAGGGAAGAGGCUUUAAGGAUGGAGGCUAGAACGAAACAAUUGGUAGAGGCUGAGAGGGAGCAUUUCCUGAGUCAGCUUUCCCAAUUAAUUCCCAAUUUUGAUCCAAGCAUGCUUAAACCCAGAAUUAGCCAAAGUCCCAAAAAUCCAAUGUCUGACAAAGCAAGCUGCUCUGGAGGUGAUGUGAGAUCCCAGCAUUUUGAGGAUGAUACUGCCAAAAAUGGGAAACAUCAGGAAGAAAAGGUAACAUAUCUGAACUUUGAAUUCUCUGUUUUUUUAAAAACCAUUAGACGUCGUUAUUAUUAAUAAAACCGUCGUUUGAAAUACAUACCACGACGAUUUUAAACAUAAACCGUCGUUUGUAUUUCAAUACCACGUCGUAUUUAGUUUACUUGUUUUACACGCCAUUAAACGUCGUUAUUUUAAAACUUUGUGGUUUUUAGACGACGGAGUUAGUCAUUCCCGACGUAAUAGAUGAAGGGAAGACAGAAGAAAAACAUGAUGAAAAUGAGAAAGAAGAUGACGACCAGGUAUGUUCACAUAACUUUGCCUUUUUUAUUAGUUUUUCAAAAUUCCAGACGUCGAUAUUUUUCUUUAAACCGUCGUUUGUUUACAACUUAGACGGCGGAAUUUUUUUUAAGACGUAAUAAAUUAUUCACCACAACGGUUUCUUCAGACGACGUUUAAAUUCUUUUCAGACGACGUAUUAUUCCUUAAACCGUCGUUUUUAUUGAAUUACCACGUCAUUUUUUUUAUUUCUUUAAACAUGUUAUUAAAGUUGUUGAUUAUUCAAAUAUGGAGGCGCCAUCUUCUUUAAACUCCCUUUGUCGUUAUGUGGAAACGACACUCGUGCCUCAGGAUAAGACCCUGCACUUUACAAUUGAUAAGGAGGUGUUUGGUCUAGAGCGCGAUACCUUCCUCCUGCCUGAAGAUAUUACACAAUUUGCAGGCAUGGAAGAAAUAGGAGCCACUGUCAUUGCUGUAUAUAUGAGGUUUGUCAUUCUAAAAUAAUACGUCGUUGGUGUAUUUAUUGCGUCGUCUUAACCAACUAACCACGUCGUUAGUAUAUCAUAACGUCGUUGUCUAUUUCAGUACGUCGUGUGAAAUUUUAUAAUACGUCGUUUUGUUAUACAUAACCGUCGUGUUUUUUUGUAUAUAUGAGGUUUGUCAUUCUAAAAUAAUACGUCGUUGGUUUAUUUAUUGCGUUGUCUUAACUAACUAACCACGUCGUUAGUAUUUACCGUCGUGAUAAAUAUAUUAUAACGUCGUUGUCUAUUUCAGUACGUCGUGUGAAAUUUUAUAAUACGUCGUUUUGUUAUACAUAACCGUCGUGUGUUUUUUUGUGCUGACUUGUUUAUAUUAUUUUAUAUAUUUAGGCACUUGCACAAUGUUUUGAAGCGAGCAAAUAUGUGCAAUAUGGUUGGCUUUAUCGACCCUGCUACAGUUAGUGCCAGCUCUGGCACAAUAGCUGAGAGAUCACGCCUACUAGCAGCUCGACUUCAGAAGACUGACGGUGAACAGAUUUUCCUGAUGCCUUACAAUCCAGGGUUAGUCUCCUUAACAGGAUUUUGUUUUUUUGAUUUUCAAUAAAUUACAGCGUAUAAACUAACCACGUCGGUGUUUUAUUUUAUUGAGUCGUUUGAAACUUCUAACCACGUCGGUAGUUAUUUAUCGUCGUGAUAAAUGUAAAAUGUCGUCGAUUGCUACUUUAUUUCGUCGUGUGAAAUAUUAUAAUACGUCGUUAUUGUAAAUAACUGUCGUUUUUAUAUUAAUUUUGUGCAGCAGUCAUUGGAUCUUGCUGAUUGUAAGAGCAAAGAGAGAAACCGUCUAUUUUCUGGAUCCUCUGCCAGGAAAUCGUGUGGUCGAUGAAGAGGCCAAAAACAUUGUGAACAGUGCUAUAAAAAUUUAUAAUUCUCACAUAGCCAGACCAGGCCGUAAGGCAGUCAUUUGGAAAACUCUGUCAGGCACACCAAAGCAACCCAGCAAUGUCGAAUGCGGGUAUUAUGUGAUGCGCUUCAUGAGGGACAUCAUCAUGGAUACUUCCUUGGGGUUUGAGAAGAAGGUAAGAAGAAAUUACCUUCAUACAUUUUACGUCGUUUUUUGUAUUAUCAACGACGGUCAUGUAAAAUUACAGUCGUUGAAUAGAUAUAGUAUGUCGGUUAUGAAAAAUAUCGUCGUCUGUGAUUGAAUUUCUUUUUAUUUAUAAACCCUAAUAGUCAUUGUUUAUGCAGUAUGCCAAGGGAAAAUAGGAAGAGCCAUACCCCCAAGAAGCAAUUGAUGAAGUCCGGAAUGAAUGGGCAGAGUUUGUUUGCCUUAACCUGGAAUAGGGGAAUUAUUGAACACUUGAUAUUUAUGUAUAAUGUACAAAUUUUGUCUAUAAUAUAUAAUGUAAAAAUUUGUUGAGGUUUUCUUAAAUUAAAAAAAAAAAAAAACAAACAUACAAAUUGCGUAACCGACGUGUAAUACUUUUCCAACGACGUAAUAAAGUCAAAAGCCGUCGUUUUUUGUUGUUUCGUUUUAACCAAAUCCGACGUAAAAGGAUAUUUAGACGACGUUCUUUGAACAAUUGAGUCGUUUAUGGUUUACAACGUCUUCAAUUUCUUAAGGGUUCAGGGUGGUACUUUGUAACGACAGCGGUUAAGUCGUGGAAUAUAUAUUUUACGUCGGAUAGUUAAAUAUCCGCCAUGGUUUCUCAUUUAAACGACGUCAUUUUAACAACUUAGUCGUCUAUUACAAUUUACAACGUCUAAAAUUUAUUAACACCGACGUGGUUUGUUGUUGUGAUAAGAAUAUUUUAUUAUUUUUAUAUCAAAAUAUUCAAAAUAAAUUUAAAAUAAAUCAGAAAAAUGCAAAGUCAACUCCUAUGAAGUCAUUGAUAUAUUUUCUUCCCCCUAAACCUUGAAAAAAUUCAUUUUGAAUAACAAAAAUUUAAAAUGACCAUCCAAAACAAAAUUGUUUUGAUGAGUCAUAAAAUCACUUCUAGUUUUAUGGUUUAGGGUUUAGAGUCUAGGGUUUAGAGAUUAGGGUUGUUAUUUAUUGGGGUUUAUUUUUAAAGUAUAAUUUUUGGGUAGUAUAGGGUAUAUAUUAGGCUGUAAAACCAUAAACCCUUUUAUAAACUUAAUUUUUAAAAUUAUAUAAUUUAGUUUUAAGGGUUUAGGGUAUUAAUUGUUAACGACGGUGGUUGAGUCGUGGAAUACAUAUGUUACGUCGUGCAGUAAAAUAUCCGACAUGGUUUAUGCUUUAAACGACGUCAUUUUAAUAUGUAAGUCGUCUAUUAUAAUUUACAACGUUUUCAAUUUCUUAACUUCGACGUGGUUUUUCAGUCGUCUUUAUAUCAAAAUAUUCAAAAUAAAUUUAAAAUUAAUCCGAAAAAUGAAGCGUCAAAAUAAACGGCGUUACGUUCAGUGUUUCCGUCGUGGAAUAUUACAUUUACGUCGGUUCUUGUAGAACUUUCGCCAUGAUUUUUCUUUCGACGUUUUAAAGAGCGCGCGCUCUAAAAAUUUUCGCGCGCCCUAAAUUUUUUUAUAUUUGGCUCUUAUUCUUAUACUUCUAACCCUGAACCCUAAAAUUUUCAGAUUUCGCGCAACAUAACAUUCGCUCUCUCACUUCUGCUCUAAUUAAAAGUUGCACUCUCCAGGCUCCGUCGAAUCUGUGAGCUCGUCCAACCUGUAAGUACAAACCCUAUCUUUGUAUAAUCUGCUAUAGUGAUGGUCAUUGCCUGUAUUUUCACUUUAUUAUAGAUAAUAGGUUAUAGUGUCGGAGAUGGAUAAGUCAUGGAUGCACUCGGAUAGAAGAUCGAAGGCAUAUGAGUUUGGGGUGGAAGCAUUUUUGAACUUUACUGUAGAAAAUCUUCUAACUACAACACAUAUCCGUUGUCCAUGACAAGAUCAAAUAAAGUGUACUUUUGCUGGAAAUCAACACAAAAAGACAUAGAUCACCAACUUCCAAAUGAUUGUCACGCACAACGUCCAUCCAACCACGCCUGAAUCUGGGCCUUCCUUUGCUCAAACCAACAGACCAAGUUCUCCCAUUCGAAACUUGAAGGAUGACUUCACAGGAAUGCUUAAUACUAGGAGAUAGCUUGUAAAGAAAACUGGAGAAACCCCCCUAGCCGUCAAAUCUCUCUACUCGUGAACGAGAGAGCGACCCAAAACCUUCACCAAACACAAGUCUUUUGUAACAAAUUUUAUGCCUAGUUGUUGAUUAUUAUCUUUAUUUGUAUUGUUAUGGCUUGGUUUUUUCAAGCUUUAUCUAUUUUUAGUUAUUCUGAGUUUGCACUCUUAGUUGGGAUGCUUAUGCCAGAGUUACUUCGAUUAUGCAUGAUUGUUAGUGGUGGAGCCCCAAAUUGUCUUAGGGCUAAUUUGACAUUACUGUGUUGUGAAAAUAAUCGAUAUUAGAUGUGCUAUGAGAGAAAUCAUCUGUGAGAGAAAGCAAUUUGGCGUUUGGUAAACUUGUUGUUAAAAGUGUUGUUGGUACUGAUUUAACACAGGAAUGCUUCUCCAUGUCUCUCAGUCUUCUGUGAUUGUCUCUUUGGGUUCUUCUUGGUGAAUUGGGUAUGACUUUUUUUUUGUUCUUUUGUUCUCUGUGGGGUGGUUGCGUUGGCUUCCUUUCUGGGUUCCCAAUGAGUCAGUCGCUGGUGAGGGGUCUCCAUCUUAAUGCUAUGAAGAUGGCCACCGCCUUUUCUGCUCAAGGGGAUGACAAAUAUGCAGCACCAAGCUGGUGUUAGGCAUCUGAUUAUUACUAGCUUGGAUUUUUCUGGUAAGCAUAGUUUUUGUAUCAAGGAUUUUGUUGACAAGGCGGAGGAGACCAACCUCGAGGGGUCUCCAAGAUCUCCCUAAUAAUUCUCCUAUGGAACAUUCGUAGGCUUGGCAACCAAUGAACGUUCCUACUAUGAAGAUCUUUCUUCGGAAUUUUCUUCAGGCUAAGAGGCCAAUCUUGGUCUCCUUCGCUUGUCAGCUGGGGUUUUAGAUCAAGAAAAUUGGAGGUGGUAGUUGGUGUUUGGCUGGAUCUAUUAUGAUACUCACAAUACGUUUUUGACUCUGCACGAAGAACUAUGACGCUUUCUUUAGAUCAUAGGAGGCUUUCUUUGAUAGUAUCUGCACAGUGAUGGGAUGUGUUUCAAUGAUUUUGCGGUUGGGUGAUUGGCUGGAUCUAUUAUGAUACCCAUAAUGAGUUUUUGACUCUGUACGAAUAACUAUGAUGUUUUUUCUAGAUUCUAGGAGGACUUUUUUGACAGUACCUACGUAGUGAUGGGAUGUCGUUUUUAGGGUUUUGUGGUUAGGGUUUUAGGUUGGUUUGUUUCAUAUAAAUUGUUUGACUCUUAUGUUUAGUCAAUAGAAUGGGUGGUACUCUUUCCUACCCCGAGAUUUUGUUUCUCUGGGAAGGUUUUAAUGAGGCCGCUGUUAACAUGCUAGUUCUUACCAUGUAAUGUUCCUUUUCGGUUGAAUGAAAUACCAUCUUUUCUAUAUAAAAAAAUUACAAAUAAAGAUAGGAAAUUAGCCCCCAAGGUCACUCUCUCGCUAAGCGAGGAGAGCCGCACGUCAUAUCUAGGGUUCCUUCUCAAGGUUAGACACAGCCUACACUUCCAGUUGCCGUCAUUCCUCCUUUGCCAGCGAUAGGUGUCGUCGUCAUCUCUCCUUCUCACCUUACGGCUCGCCAUGAAAGACUAUUUUUGUCUCUCCAUUUGCUACUCAGGCUCAUCGCAGGUGCUAAUCAAUUGAUCCCUUGAGAUUUUAUUGGGUUUUGUCAGGUAUCGAUUGUGAGCACAGUCCGAAUUAGCGCUCUCAGCCCUCGUGUCCCCCUCGUGCCGCCCACCAGUUGGUUUCACUCUCUGUGACUCUGGGUCCCUGCCGAUGUUUUCCUAAGCAUGCUAGUGUUAUGGUAAUUCUUUGGAUUUUUGCUUUGCUGUCCUUGUCUUUCUCCUUCACAUGCUGUGGUUUUUUAAUUCGUCUUGGCGCGGUGAUUUGAGUGGAAAUUCUGGUAUCUGCUAUAUCAGUGUUAACGUCGUACGUUCCGUGAUCUCACAAAAAACCUCUUGCAAGACAAAACACUAGAUAUUGUUUUCCUUACUGAGACUCGUAUGACUGCUGUCCAGAUAGGUAGAUUGGUCCAAAGACUUGGUGUGGGUGGAGUCUUCUAUGUUCCUCGUGAAGGGUUCUCUGGUGGUCUAUGUAUUCUUUGGAAGCCUGGUUCACUAGUUGUGUUGCUCUCAUCCUCUUGGGGCAUAUUGACGCUCGGAUUACCAUUCCUAAUUCCUUUGUUACACGGAUUACUAGGGUUCUAUGAUCAUCCUGACCCGACUCGGCAGAUUCAUUCUUGGGAGCUUCUUCGUCAUUUGAGUGAGGUGGAUAUUGGUCCAUGGUUGUGUUGUGGUGACUUCAAUGAAAUUCUGUCUGUGGACAAAAAAAGUGGCCCUCGUCUCGCCUCCGUUGGUCAAAUCGAAGAUUUUCAACGGGUAAUUGAUGCAUGUAAUCUGUUAUCAUUUGAUUUUGUGGGUCAUCCUUUUACCUGGACGAACAACCUCAAAGAUAACGCGAAUGUUCAAGCGUGAUUAGACAGAGGCUUUGGUAAUUUAGCCUUGUUUUAGCAGUGGGUCAAUUUCACCAUCUACCAUCUUUCAACAUAUUCUUCUGAUCAUCACCCAAUUUUUCUCCUCCACGUCGUAUGGCCUGGUGUUGAUGUUUGGCGUCAUCGGAGUCCAUGUCGUUUCCAGUUUGAGGAAUAAUGGACAACUGAUGAAGACUGUUAAAGAAUAAUUCAAGAAGGGUGGCAUUGUCAGGAAUCUCCUAUGAGUAAUCUUGUCGUAUGUGUUAAGUGCCUAUCGAAGUGGAAAUGUCAAAGAUUCAGGCAUAUGAAUUCCAAAAUUCAGUCUUUGCGUACCUCUCUAGCUUCCUUUAAAAUUAUUGCCCCCUCUGAAGCCAUUCUCUAGAGUAAUAAAUUGGUUGUAAAUGAGCUCGACAGGUUACUGGAUCUUGAUGAACUAUAUUGGCGCCAUCGUUCUCCUAUCAAUUAGCUACAAGCUGGUGACUGUUACACUUCCUAUUUUAUGCUAAUAAUGUAUUAAGGAGUGAUUCUAGGAAUAUUGGUGCUGUAUUUCUCGACUACUAAGAUCAUCUUUUUUCUUCUGCAGGCACAACUAUGAGUAAUGAAAUUUUUGAGGCUCUCUUCCCGAGUUCCUCAACUGACUCAACGGUAUCUUUCUCUACUCUUCACUCAAGAGGAAGUUGAAAUUGCCAUCAAAUCUAUGGGGGCCACUAAAGCUCCAGGUCCUGAUGGGAUGACGGCUUUAUUCUAUCAAAGUUACUGGAGUAUUAUUGGCUCGGAUAUCUGUCAACUCUGUUUAUAGAUUCUUAAUGGGAGUUGUGGGGUAGCUAAUUUCAACCAUACAUUGAUCGCCUUAAUAACGAAAGUUCUGUCUCCCUUCUGGGUAAUUGAAUUUCGCCCCAUUAGUCUCUGUAAUGUUUUGUAUAAAAUUAUUUCCAAAGUUUUUGCCAACAGGUUGAAAAAUGCAAUGUCGGAUAUCAUAUCAGAAUAUCAGAGUGCAUUCAUCCCUCACCAUAUGAUCUUAGAUAACGGUCUUGCGGCUUUCGAAACAAUUCAUUGUUUGAAGCGUAGAGGUGAAUCAGGAAAAAAAAAAGGCUAUACUAAAGCUCGAUACUGCCAAGGCCUAUGAUUGGGUGGAAUGGGUAUUUUUGGAGUGGAUGAUGCACACGAUGGAAUUCCCUAAUCGCUUUAUCCAGUUGAUCAUGGGUUGUAUUACUUAUGUUUCUUACUCUCUAUUAAUUCAAGGGCGUCUGCUGGGUCACCUCAUUACUUCUCGGGGUCUAUGCCUAGGAGAUCCUCAUAAAGCUGAUUGGGAUUCUCGAGUCUACAGGAUUUCUAUUGCUCCUUCUCUUAAUCACCUUUUUUUGCAUAUGACAGUCUCUUAUUUUAUGAUUCUGAAGUUACCCAGAUAACGGAAUUGAAGCGCCUUUUUAGUCUUUAUGAAGCAGCCUCGGAACAACAAAUAAAAUUUGCCAAGUCUGCUAUCUAUUUUACCCCAUCCACCCCUGAAUCAGUCCAAGCUCAACUUCUAGCGCUUUUGGGGGUACCGAUCGUCCCUUGCCAUGAACGUUAUUUGGAUCUUCCUACUAUAGCUAGAAAAAAAAAUUAAAAAAAUGUUCCUAGCUAUCAAAGAUCGUGUUUGGAAGAAGAUUUCAGGAUGGGAAGGUAAACUUGUUUAGAAAGCUGGGAAGGAGGUGCUUAUUAAGGCGGUGUGUCAGGCGAUGCCUACCUAUUCUAUGAGUGCCUUUCGUAUGCCAGCUAGCUUAUGCUAUGAAAUUGAGAGUAUUUUUGCUCGUUACUGGUAGUCUAAAGGCAGUGAAAAAGGUAUCCAUUGGAAGACCUGGAAGGCUCUGAGCAAGCACAAGACUGAAGGAGGUCUCAGUUUUCGAGAACUUGUCUACUUUAAUCAAGCGUUGCUUGCCAAACAAAGAUGGCGUCUUCUAGAAUUUCCCAAUUCCCUUAUUGCACAAAUGCUUAAAGCUUAGUAUUUUCCAGAGUUUGAUUUUCUACAUGCUUAAGGGUGUUGGACACCUUUUUUUACCUGGCAGUCGAUAUUAUGGGGUCUUGAACUCCUAUCCCGUAGUCUUCGAUGGCGUAUCGGUGAUGGUCGACUUGUGAACAUCUACAUUGAUCCGUGGGUACCUCACCAUCUUACGUUUACUGUUCAAUCUUCUCUUUGUCUCCUUGUGGAUUCCAGAGGUAGUGCUGUUAUUACUGCUACGUUUUUGAGAUCUACAGCUUAUUCACCUUUCUUGAAGCUGAACUCAUCCUAUCUAUCCCUUUGAAUUGCAAUAUUGGUGAUCACCGUAUUUGGAAUUUUACUUGUAAUGGUAGGUAUAUAGUUAAGAGUGGAUAUUGGUUUGCAUUAGAAUUUCAAGCUCAUAUGGCCUUUUUGUUUGUGUCUAGGUCUUCCUCUUCCUCCUCUCAACAGUUAUGGAAGCAUUUAUGAAAGCUUUAAGUUCCACCGAAAAUGAAACAUUUCCUCUAUUGUCUCGCCCACAACACUCUCCCUACCCGUGAGGUGCUUCUUCAGCGGAAAAUAGUCCAAGAUACCACUUUCUUUUUAGUUGUAUGGGUCCGACUAAAACUACGAUGCAUGCUCUUCAUGACUGCAUUGUCAAUUCUUCUGUUUUGCGCUUAAUGGGUUGGGCUCCACUUCUCGCCACUUUACUCUAUCAUGAUGCUGCAAUUUGGUUUUUGGUUGUAUGGGAUAUCCUCCCUAGCUCACAACACUCGUUUACUAUUACUUUGUGGUUCUUGUGGAAUACCUGAAAUGCAGCUUUGUUUAGUUCUCAUGUCUUGCCCCCUAAUCAAAUAGUUUUUAGUGCAAAGAACUAUGAUGCUGAGUAUCAUAAGGUUUUAUCAAUCAAUCAUAGGCAGUCUUCGUUGGCAAUUCCUGAUAAAAAGUGGCAAUCACCCCCUUCUGGUUAUUUUAAACUUAAUUAACAUUGAUGGUGCACUUAGCUUGAGUUCUAAUUUACGUGGGGUUGGUAUAACGGUCAGAGAUUCCUGCUGUCGUCUUUGUAGAGUGGUAGCGAUGCGUGAUCUUAGCUUGUUGUCAAUCAUGGCUACUGAGUUGUAUGCCCUCAAAAUUGGUAUUUCCUUUGAGGUGGAUGCUUCUCUCACGCCUCUCAUUAUUGAGUAUGACUCUUUGACCUCCAUCCAUUUGAUCCUUCUAGAAGAUCCCUAUUAUGCGAUAGAAGGGGCUCUAGUCGAAGAUAAACGCCGGCUCCUCGCCUCGCUCCCCUGCUACUCGACCCGCUUUGUUCCCCACACAGCUAACAGAGUGGCAAAUCGUCUUGCGCGAUACAGUCUUGGUCAAGAAGCUUUAGCUUAUUGGUUUUCUGACCCACAUCUUUAUUUACAGGAUUGUCUAAAUGAGGACUCUCCUAAGUGUACUAUUGCUUGACUCUCUUGUAGUCUCGGUGUGUGUGGUACUCUUUCCUCUUCUAAGGCUUUGUCCCACCUCAUAGAAGUUUUAACGAGGCCCCUCUAUACAUGCUUUAUCCUUGUAAUACUCUGAUUAUCUAAUGAAAUCUAGGGGUGGGCAUUGCCUCAAAUUAGAACCGAAUCCAGUACUAUUCAUCCGGUUUUGUUUUAACAAAAAAAUUUCAAAAACUGUCCUGUCUAGUUCGGCUUGAAUGGGUUCCAGUCCGGUUCAGUUUUGAACUAGAUUUUUAAAACUAUUUUUUUUCAAAUUAUUUUUUAAUACAAAUGAAAAUGAAAAUUUAUUUUUUUCACUUGAAAAUUAAUAAAUUAUUUAAUUUCAUAUAAAAAUAAAUAUUAAAGCUAGAAAAGAGAGAUGUUUUGAAAUUGAACUUGGAUAAAUAUUAGUUAUGAGAUUAAAAAUAUAGCAUUGAAUAUAAAUAAAUAUUGAAAUUAUAUAUAUUUUAAUUUGACCGGUUCGGUUCGGCUCGAUUUGGUUUUUGAAGGCAUAGAACCGGAUCCAAAAUCGGUCCAAAUCGGUUUGGUUCGUUCUUUGACCCGUUGUUGACUUUUUGGUCAACUCAGUUUUUUUUCGAUUUUUUUCGGUGCUAUUCGGCUCGAAUUUUGGGUUUGCCGGUUUGAAUGCCCACCCCUAAUGAAAUCCAUCAUCUUCUCAACCCCAAAAAAAAAAAAAAAAAAAAAAACCUCUCACAAAGGAGAGGUGGAAAGCCCUCACAAAGGAGAUGUGAAAAACUCUCACAAAAGGAGAGAUGAAACCACACAAAAAACCUAAAGAGUCUCUGCGACUUAUUCCAAACAAAAAGAAAACGCAAAAAUGAUUGUGGUAUAGAUCCAACACCGAAACGCAGGUGGAAAUCUGACGCCAAAACGCAUACGCAUGUGAUGAGUGGAGGAAAAUCAUUACAAAACGAAGAGAAAUACGGGAAACCUUCUGUCUCUUAAAAUUGGGGAAAAGAGGAGAAGGUAGGAAGGGAGAAGGGGAGAGGGGAGGAAGAACAUUGACUCCUAUCCUCUCAAAGUGAAAACGGCUAUAGAGUGUUUUUUGGGAGAGAGGGGACUAGGAUUUUUGGAAAACUGUUUAUAACAUGUGUAGUUAGAUCUAGAAGAUUACAUAAUAAAUCUUAUUUGGUGAUGCUUUUAGGGAAGUAGAACAGUUGGUGAUACUUUAAAAUCGAAUUAUCAAUAUCUAUCCAAUUGAGCCCCAUAAUAUCCUAGCGUCAGAAAGUUGGGAGACAAAUUGAGGAAAAAGAGGUUGGAUGCUAAAGCUUCCCAAUCCCAACAAUAUUCAGAGUCACCAAAAUCUUUCCCAAAGUGUAUUUACUCAGUUAUUUAUAAACAAAAACAAUUACUAUACACAGUCAAAAACAGUUACUUCCAUUAGUAUUUUCCUUCCAGAUGCAUUAAUAGAGAUAGCUCUUGCAGGACUUGAGAUCAGGCAAGAAAAGUCCAGGUUAACAGCUGUGCUAAUAAGUCCAUAAUUCAAGUCUGCACGGUGGUUUGGUUCGCUAUCAUAACAACGCUUAUGCAAAUUCAGUACCCAUUGAUGCUUAUCCCUAUUUAUACAAGCUCUACGUCGAGAGAGUAAUUGCUCACAUUCCUGUACUCAAAAUUGAAAUCUCAAUGAUAAUUAUAUUCCUCAAAUGCAUCUUAGAAUUUUGCCAUAAUGAAGGGCAAAGUACAAAUGGUUGUCAGAGCAUUCACAAUCAUGCUCUCUAUUUUUUAGUUAAAUUUUAGCUAAAAACAUAUAAAAGUUUUUAGGAGCUCUCUAUAAAAUUUAAACUUCAAUCAUGCUCUUUAGUUUAGAGAGUCAUAAAUGCUAUAACUAUUUUUUAAUUGGUCAAUCUCUAUUAAAAAAUAAUAUUAAAAAUAAUAAAUAUUAAUUAAAGAUUUGAAAUACUCAUUAAAUCAAGCAGCAUUAAAUUAUAAGGAGCCACUAUGAGUCAUUUCUCUCUUCUCAAAUUUAGGAGUUCCUAAAAGUCUCCCUAUUUUAGGAGGUGGAUAGGGAGCAUGGUUGGAGAUGUAUUUUCCCAAAUCCUCCCUAAAAUUUGUCUAAGGAGAUAGUUUAGGGAGCCCAUUAUGGAUGCUUUAAGAGCAUCCACAAUCAUACUCUCUAUUUUUUAGUUAAAUUUUAGCUAAAAACAUAUCAAAGUUAUUUUCACUACUACAAAAAGUGAAAAAGACGACCAGAAAACAACGACGGUCUAAGUGAAAACCGUCGUGGUUUAUAAAAAGACGACGGUUCUAAAAACACCGUCGUGUAAUACAACCUUAGACAACUAAAAAAUGGAGUUUCAAAUGGCUGUUCAAAAACAACGACGUACAUAAUUAAACAACCGACGUCUAUUUGAAACAGAUUUCCGCAGUGUAAAAUCAAUGCCAACAAAGAACGGCAGAAGUUAUGAAUCGACCGACGUAGAAAGUAAAGACGACGAUUUUAAUAAAAACUGCCGUUUUUACUCAUAAAAUAAGACGACGAGGUUUUCGUAUAAGACGCCGUAUAAUUACAAACAAAUCCACGGCUUUAAAAUACAAAAUAUCGCCGUAUUAAAUUAAUUUACAACGACGGAAAAUAUAAAUAUAUCGACGUCAUUCUCGUAUAGUUCUACUACGUUAUCUUUAAAUCGUACAAUAAAAUUUAUCGUCGUAUUUAUUCAUUUUAUACGUCGUACCUUUAAUUUUAACGGUCGUCUUAAUAAGAAUUUUUGUUAACAAUUUUUUUCUUUGAUUUUCUUAUCCUACGUCGGUAGAUCUACUUAAUGACAAGAAUUGAAAUAACCACGACGGUUUAUAUAGAACACCGCCGACAUAAUCAGUUUUGUCUGAGAUCCCAAGGGUUACGAAAUCUUACCAGAUGGAACUCUGUUCCACAUCAUAAUCUUAACAGAUGACACAGAUUUGCAAAUAUUGCGUCGUGUUAGUUUACAAAUUCUAGAACAUUAAUUUCCCUCAUUUUAAAUUUCCUCGGGAAAGAAAAAUCUAUUUAUCACGCUUUGGAAUUGAAAACUAAAACUGAAAGAAUACGGGAAAAAAAACUCCAUUUAUAAUUUAAAAUUAAAAUCCACGUCGGUUGUAGUACACUUAACGACGUUUAACAAAAUAAUCUACGUCGGUAAUUAUAAAUCUACCGCCAUCGUAACUUAAUAUAGACGACGAGAAAAGACGACGGUAGAACAGAAAACCGCCGUUGUUUCAGUUUCUUUAACAUAUCUUUCUGCAGGACUUGUGUAGUUCAAAGCAUUGACAAUGUCUUCAUCAUAUCUCCCAGAAACUACUGAUUCAAUUGCUCAUGCUUUAGAGGCCAUCUGAAGCCAUUUCUAUUCUUUAUCGCAUUCUUGAAACCCAUCUUCUUCUUCUGAAGCUCUACGGAUAAAGGAAGAGGCUAUCACAAUAAAUCCGACGGAUCUUCUUAGGCAAGAAAAUCAAGCAGAGGAUCAGGCACAUCUGAUCUUCAGAUUUCCCUGAGAAGCGAACUUUCCUUCGACAGCGAGUGGAGGCCAGGCUUGCAUCUCUUUUGAUGGAAAGCAAGGAGUAUUCAGAAGCACUAAGUGUCCUAUCAGGCUUGAUCAAGGAAGUGAGAAGGCUAGUUGACAAGCUUCUUCUUGUGGACAUAUAUUUGAUGCGAGUAAGCUCAAUUUCUCUUUGAGAAAACAUCCAAAUUAUUAUCUUUGAGACAUGAGAGACUGAGAGAGGAAGAACUUGGAACCUUAAAUGUAAACCGAAAAUGAAUGAAAGCGACAAAUUUAUAGAAUAAAUUUUUAAAACCAACGGCGGUCCUUACAAAAAAACCGCCGUUUAAAUUGUAAAAUCAACGUCGGUAUGAUCGACGUAUAUUACAGAAAUCCACGUCGGUAAAUUAAUAAAAACGACGUGUUAAAUAAUAUACCAUGACGCGAGUUAUUACUUAUGUACUUUAAUUUUUGAGUUUACUACGACGGUACCUACAAACUACUGUCGUAUUUAUUUACCACGUCCGAAGUUAAAUGUACCGUCGUAUUUUGUAAUUUAUACGUCGUAGUUAUAUGUAACCGCCAUAUUAUUUUUUUGAAAUGGUUUUAUAUGUAAGCAACUUUUCGUCUACUUGACUUACACAUUUGUUGUUUUUAUAUUCUUAUUUUAUUUAAAUCUGUCAUCCAAAAAAGAAACUUUACAUAUUGCAGAAUAUUAAUUUCCUUCGUUUUAAAUUUCCUCCGGAAAAAAAACUCUAUUUAUAACGCACUGUAAUUGAAAAAUAAACUGAAAGGUCACGGGAAAAAAAAUUCUAUUCAUAAUUUAAAAAUUAAAAUCCACGUCGGUUAUAUUAAACCUAACGACGUUAAAUGAAAUGAUUCCACGUCGAAUGAAAAAUAUUGCGUCGUUUUAGUUAAAAACGACGUAGUUAAAUGUAACCGCCGUAUUAUUUUUUUGAAAUGGUUUUAUAUGUAAGCAACUUUUCGACUUACACAUGCACUGUUUCCAAACCCGAUUAAAAAUUUCAAUCUCCCAGAGAAACCUUUUCGUCUUUUUUCCUUGUCAGAGCAUUGUCAGAGUUUCUCAUCGUCUUCCUCUCGUCUUCUUCGUCGUCUCUGAACUUAAACAUCGAUCAUCUUCCUCUUGCUUUCAUUGCACGCAAAAGGUAAGCUUUCAUUUUCACUAUUUUGGUUACUGUUUUGCAUGCUCAUACGUUUUUUGUUUGAAAAAUCUUUUUACCUUUUUUCUGGCCAAAAUCAUUUUACUUCUUUCCAAGUUUGAUAAAAUAUACAGACAAAGAGAGAAAGUUUCCAACUUUGAAGACAACUACAUCAACUAAAUAAGACGACGGUAGACCACGACGGUUCGUCAGUUGUUCUAGCGUCGUCUGAAAAUUGACAAAGUUGUUUUUAAAAUAAUAGUCUUUUUUUAUAUGCUUGUUUAAUUGCAGGUUUGAUUUCGCUGAACAAUGGUUUUUGUUUUUCCCUUAUUUGAUAAAAUAUAAAGAAAAAGAAACUAGGGUUGGUAUCUAAUAUAGACGACAAAAUAUCUUAUUGUUUUACGUCGUGUGAAUGUUAAUACCACGACGGUGUAUUACUAUUGACGUCGUAUGAACAUAAAUACCACGACGUUAUAUAAAUAAUAGUUUACCACGACGGUGUAUUACUAUUGACGUCGUGUGAACAUAUAUACCACGACGUUAUAUAAAUAAUGGUUUUAAACAUUUAUUACGUCUGAGAUUAUUUCAUUGCGUCGUCUAAAAUCAUAUCAUACGUCGUAUUUUUUUAAUACCGUCGUUUGUGUUCUUAAUGUUUUCCUGAAAUAUUUUCACUUGCAGUUUUGUCUGUUAAAAUGGUUUCUCAACAACAAACUAAGGAUUCUGGCUCCAAGAAGCUUGGAAUGGUAGCUCCUCAAGAUAAGUCUUCGAAGGAGAUGAAGUCUUCGAAGAAGAUGAAGUUUGCUUCAUCAUCUGCUGAGACAGAACAAACCAGCCAGACAACAAUCUCAGAUGAUUCAAAGACUGGUCGAGGUAUGAGCACAAUGCCUCGUGUUGUGAAGAGAAAGCUUCAGAAACUGAGGCCAAUUGUUGAGUACAAUAAAAGGGGGAAAGGUGUUGGCCAAGCACAUAUUGAGAUGCAGUCGUAUAUUGGUGUGUUGGCACGCUCCAGGAUCCCACUUGUGGACAAGAAAUGGUCCCAAAUCCCCAAGGAUAUAAAGGAGCAGAUUUGGGAAGCAGUUGACAUGGCUUUUGUCGUAGGCCAAGGGGGCAAGACCUCUGUUUUAGCUUCUGCUUCCAAGAAAUGGAAGGAUUUCAAGUCUACACUAACGAGGCAUUAUAUCCUUCCAUACACCAAUGACAGGGAGAAAUUAAGCCAACCCCCUGAAACAUAUAAAUUCAUAGAGAAAGCACAAUGGGAUGCCUUUGUAGCUUCAAGGCUAUCCAAAGAUUUUGAGUCUGUGCAUUCUCAACAUGCACAGAUUAGGGAGAAACUCGAGUACAAUCAUCGAUUGUCUCGAAAAGGAUAUGCUGGAUUGGAGGAUCAAUUGGAGGAAACCAUGCCUGGGGUAGAAAUUGAUCGAUCUACCUUAUGGAAGACAGCUAGACAGGACAAACAUGGUAACAUCCCUGAUCCAAAGGUGGCAGAGAAAGCAAAAUUAAUUGUAAGCCUACUAUCACUCUGUUUUAAAUUUUUAUUAAACUGUGAAUUAUUCUUAUUACGUCGUAUGUUAUAUUUUUCGUCGUGUGAAUGAUAUUACCACGUCGAAAAGUUUUUAAAACGUCGUUAAAGGUCUAAAUAGGAAUCACUACUAUGUUUUCUGUAAUUACAGCAUAAGACGUCGGUGGUUCAUUUUCGCGUCGUGUGAAUGAUAUUACCACGUCGAAAAUUUUUUAAAAACGUCGUUAACGGUCUAAAUAGGAAUCACUACUCUGUUAUCUUUAAUUAUAGCAUAAGACGUCGGUUGUUUAUUCAUUUCGUCGUUUUAAAUAAAUAACCACGUCGGUAUAACUACCGUCGUGAUAAGUUAUAAGAACGUCGGUUUAUACGUUAUUGCGUCGUGUGAAAUUAUAUAAUACGUCGUUUGUACAUAAAUAACCGUCGUGUGUUUUUUUGUUUAUCUUUUUUUAGGAUGAAUUGCAGAAACAAGUCUCGGAAGGCAAAGUCAGAGUAGAUGACAACAAUGAUGUGCUGACCAUGGCUUUGGGCCUCGAGCAUCCAGGCAGACUGAGGGGAGUUGGUGCUGGUGUUUCCCCAAGGCAAUAUUUCAAUUUACCCAAACCACAGAGGGUGAGCUUUGACGACCGUUUGAAGGACAGUUUAAGAGUUCUCCUUCAAGAAGAGACUAAAAAGAUGGAGGCUAAGGCAAGGGAAGAGGCCUUAAGGAUGGAGGCUAGGACAAAACAAUUGGUAGAGGCUGAGAGGGAGCAUUUCCUGAGUCAGCUUUCCCAAUUAAUUCCCAAUUUUGAUCCAAGCAUGCUUAAACCAAGAAUUAGCCAAAGCCCCAAAAAUCCAAUGUCUGACAAAGCUAGCUGCUCUGGAGGUGAUGUGAGAUCCCUACAUUUGGAGGAUGAUACUGCCAAAAUGGGGAAACAUCAGCCAGAUGAAGAGAAGGAAGAAGAAAAAAGAGAUGAAGAGAAGGAAGAAGAAAAGGAGAAAGAAGAUGAAGAAAAGCAUGACGACAAGGUAUGUUCACAUAACUUUGCCUUUUUUAUUUGUUUUUCAAAAUUUCAGACGUCGAUAUUUUUAUUUAAUCCGUCGUUUGUUUAAAACUUAGACGGCGGAAUUUUUUUAAGACGUAAUAAAAUAUUUAAACGACCGUCGUGAUAAAUAUAUUUAAACGACCGUCGUUUAAAUACUUUUAAGACGACGUUUUAUUACUUAAACCGUCGUCUUUAUUGAAUUACCACGUCAUUUUUUUUAUUUCUUUAAACAGGUUAUUGAAGUUGGUGCUUAUUCAAAAAUGGAGGCGCCAUCUUCUUUAAAAACCCUUUGUCGUUUUGUGGAAACGACACUCCUGCCUGAGGAUAAGACAGUCCAAUUUACAAUUGAUAAGGAGGUGUUUGGUGGUGAGCGCGAUACCUUCCUCCUGCCUGAAGAUAUUACACAAUUUGCAGGCAUGGAAGAAAUUGGAGCUACUGUAUUGGCUGUAUAUAUGAGGUUUGUACUUCUAAAAUAAUAACUCGUUGGUUUAUAUAUUGCGUCGUCUUAACUAACUAACCACGUCGUCUUAACUAACAACCGUCGUGAUAAAUAUAUUAUAACGUCCUCAUCUAUUUCAGUACGUCGUGUGAAAUAUUAUAAUACGUCGUUUUUUUAUACAUAACCGUCGUGUUUUGUGUGCUGACUUGUUUAUAUUAUUUUAUUUGUUUAGGUACUUGUUUAUAUUAUUUUAUUUAUUUUAUUUUUUUAUACAUAACCGUCGUGUUUUGUGUGCUGACUUCAGAAGACAGACGGUGAACAGAUUUUCAUGAUGCCUUACAAUCCAGGCUUAGUCUCCUUAGGAUUUUAUUUUUAUGAUUUUCAAUAAAUGACAGCUUAUAAACUAACCACGUCGGUGUUUUAUUUUAUUUAGUCGUUUGAAACUACUAACCACGUCGGUAUUUAUUUAUCGUCGUGAUAAAUAUAUAAUGUCGUCGUUAGCUACUUUACUUCGUCGUGUGAAAUACUAUAAUACGUCGUUUUUGUAAAUAACCGUCGUUUUUAUAUUAAUUUUGUGCAGCCGUCAUUGGAUUUUGCUGAUUGUAAGAGCAAAGAGAGAAACUGUCUAUUUUCUGGAUCCUCUGCCAGGAAAUCGUGUGGUCGAUGAAGAGGCCAAAAACAUCGUGAACAGUGCUUUAAAAAUAUAUAAUACCCACAUAGCCCGAGCAGGACGUAAAAAUGUAAUUUGGAAAACUCUCUCAGGCACACCAAAGCAACCCAGCAAUGUCGAAUGCGGGUAUUAUGUAAUGCGCUUCAUGAGGGACAUCAUCAUGGAUCCUUCAUUGGGGUUUGAGAAUAAGGUAAGAAGAAAUUACCUUCAUACAUUUCACGUCGUUUUUUGUAUUAUCAACGACGGUCGUGUAAAAUUAACGUCGUUGAAUGGAUAUACUACGUCGGUUAUGAAAAAUAUCGUCGUCUGUGAUUGAAUUUCUUUUUAUUUAUAAACCCUAAUAGUCAUUGUUUAUGCAGUAUGCCAAGGGAAACCAGGAAGCUUCAUACCCCCAAGAAGCCAUUGAUGAAGUCCGGAAUGAAUGGGCAGAGUUUGUUUUCCAAAUUAUUAAACAGGGCAAUUAUUGAACACUUGAUAUUUAUGUAUAAUGUACCAAUUUUCUCUAUAAUAUGUAAUGUAAAAAUUUGUUGAGGUUUUCUUAAAUUAAAAAAAAAACAAACAUACAAAUUGCUUAACCGACGUGUAAUACUUUUCCAACGACCUAAUAAAGUCAAUAACCGUCGUAUUUUGUUGUUGCGUGUUUUAAACAAAUACGACGUAAAAAAAUAGUUAGACGACGUUCUUUGAACAAUUGAGUCGUUAAUGGUUUACAAUAUCUUCAAUUUCUUAAGGGUUCAGGGUAUAAUCGACGACGUUUAUGUAACGACUGCGGUUAAGUCGUAAAAUAUAUAUUUUACGUCGUAUAGUUAAAUAGCCGCCAUGGUUUCUCAUUUUAACGACGUCAUUUUAACGACUUAGUAGUCUAUUACAAUUUACAACGUCUACAAUUUAUUUAACACCGACGUGGUUUGUUGUAUGGUAAGAAUAUUUUAUUAUUUUUAUAUCAAAAUAUUCAAAAUAAAUAUAAAAUAAAUCAGAAAAUUGAAAAGUCAACUCCUAUGAAGUCAUUGAUAUAUUUUCUUCCACAUAAACCUUGAAAAAAUUCAUUUUGAAUAACAAAAAUUUAAUGACCAUCCAAAACAAAUUGUUUUGAUGAGUCAUAAAUCACUUCUAGUUUUAUGGGUUUAGGGNNNNNNNNNNNNNNNNNNNNNNNNNNNNNNNNNNNNNNNNNNNNNNNNNNNNNNNNNNNNNNNNNNNNNNNNNNNNNNNNNNNNNNNNNNNNNNNNNNNNNNNNNNNNNNNNNNNNNNNNNNNNNNNNNNNNNNNNNNNNNNNNNNNNNNNNNNNNNNNNNNNNNNNNNNNNNNNNNNNNNNNNNNNNNNNNNNNNNNNNNNNNNNNNNNNNNNNNNNNNNNNNNNNNNNNNNNNNNNNNNNNNNNNNNNNNNNNNNNNNNNNNNNNNNNNNNNNNNNNNNNNNNNNNNNNNNNNNNNNNNNNNNNNNNNNNNNNNNNNNNNNNNNNNNNNNNNNNNNNNNNNNNNNNNNNNNNNNNNNNNNNNNNNNNNNNNNNNNNNNNNNNNNNNNNNNNNNNNNNNNNNNNNNNNNNNNNNNNNNNNNNNNNNNNNNNNNNNNNNNNNNNNNNNNNNNNNNNNNNNNNNNNNNNNNNNNNNNNNNNNNNNNNNNNNNNNNNNNNNNNNNNNNNNNNNNNNNNNNNNNNNNNNNNNNNNNNNNNNNNNNNNNNNNNNNNNNNNNNNNNNNNNNNNNNNNNNNNNNNNNNNNNNNNNNNNNNNNNNNNNNNNNNNNNNNNNNNNNNNNNNNNNNNNNNNNNNNNNNNNNNNNNNNNNNNNNNNNNNNNNNNNNNNNNNNNNNNNNNNNNNNNNNNNNNNNNNNNNNNNNNNNNNNNNNNNNNNNNNNNNNNNNNNNNNNNNNNNNNNNNNNNNNNNNNNNNNNNNNNNNNNNNNNNNNNNNNNNNNNNNNNNNNNNNNNNNNNNNNNNNNNNNNNNNNNNNNNNNNNNNNNNNNNNNNNNNNNNNNNNNNNNNNNNNNNNNNNNNNNNNNNNNNNNNNNNNNNNNNNNNNNNNNNNNNNNNNNNNNNNNNNNNNNNNNNNNNNNNNNNNNNNNNNNNNNNNNNNNNNNNNNNNNNNNNNNNNNNNNNNNNNNNNNNNNNNNNNNNNNNNNNNNNNNNNNNNNNNNNNNNNNNNNNNNNNNNNNNNNNNNNNNNNNNNNNNNNNNNNNNNNNNNNNNNNNNNNNNNNNNNNNNNNNNNNNNNNNNNNNNNNNNNNNNNNNNNNNNNNNNNNNNNNNNNNNNNNNNNNNNNNNNNNNNNNNNNNNNNNNNNNNNNNNNNNNNNNNNNNNNNNNNNNNNNNNNNNNNNNNNNNNNNNNNNNNNNNNNNNNNNNNNNNNNNNNNNNNNNNNNNNNNNNNNNNNNNNNNNNNNNNNNNNNNNNNNNNNNNNNNNNNNNNNNNNNNNNNNNNNNNNNNNNNNNNNNNNNNNNNNNNNNNNNNNNNNNNNNNNNNNNNNNNNNNNNNNNNNNNNNNNNNNNNNNNNNNNNNNNNNNNNNNNNNNNNNNNNNNNNNNNNNNNNNNNNNNNNNNNNNNNNNNNNNNNNNNNNNNNNNNNNNNNNNNNNNNNNNNNNNNNNNNNNNNNNNNNNNNNNNNNNNNNNNNNNNNNNNNNNNNNNNNNNNNNNNNNNNNNNNNNNNNNNNNNNNNNNNNNNNNNNNNNNNNNNNNNNNNNNNNNNNNNNNNNNNNNNNNNNNNNNNNNNNNNNNNNNNNNNNNNNNNNNNNNNNNNNNNNNNNNNNNNNNNNNNNNNNNNNNNNNNNNNNNNNNNNNNNNNNNNNNNNNNNNNNNNNNNNNNNNNNNNNNNNNNNNNNNNNNNNNNNNNNNNNNNNNNNNNNNNNNNNNNNNNNNNNNNNNNNNNNNNNNNNNNNNNNNNNNNNNNNNNNNNNNNNNNNNNNNNNNNNNNNNNNNNNNNNNNNNNNNNNNNNNNNNNNNNNNNNNNNNNNNNNNNNNNNNNNNNNNNNNNNNNNNNNNNNNNNNNNNNNNNNNNNNNNNNNNNNNNNNNNNNNNNNNNNNNNNNNNNNNNNNNNNNNNNNNNNNNNNNNNNNNNNNNNNNNNNNNNNNNNNNNNNNNNNNNNNNNNNNNNNNNNNNNNNNNNNNNNNNNNNNNNNNNNNNNNNNNNNNNNNNNNNNNNNNNNNNNNNNNNNNNNNNNNNNNNNNNNNNNNNNNNNNNNNNNNNNNNNNNNNNNNNNNNNNNNNNNNNNNNNNNNNNNNNNNNNNNNNNNNNNNNNNNNNNNNNNNNNNNNNNNNNNNNNNNNNNNNNNNNNNNNNNNNNNNNNNNNNNNNNNNNNNNNNNNNNNNNNNAGAAUUGGACAUUUCACGGAGAACCUUGGGAAAGCAACUACUAAUGCUAGUAGAAAUGUUGAAGAAGAUGAUGGCCCAUAGUAGGUACAGUUUUGUGUCUGAAGAAAUUGAUAUGGAUGAUAAUGAUUUUGGUGAUUUUGGUUCGGAUCCGUAUGAGUUUGCCAAUGUGAUUGGGGAUGGAGAUCAACCCAGUGUACCCUGGUUGUAGAAAGUACACGAAGUUAUCGGCAUUAGUGAAGUUGUAUAAUUUGAAGGCAAAACAUGGGAUGAGUGAUGUCUGUUUUACAGAAUUAUUGAUACUUCAAGGCGAUUUGCUUCCAGAAGGAAAUACAAUACCAACCUCCAUGUAUGAGGCUAAAAAGACUUUGUGUGCAUUGGGGCUGAGUUAUGAGAAAAUGCACGCAUGCCCCAAUGAUUGCAUCUUGUAUAGGAAGGAGUAUGAGGAUUCAACUAAUUGUCCUACUUGUGGUAUCUCAAGGUGGAAGGAAGGCAAAGAUGCAAUCUUGAAAGAGGGUGUGCCAGCGAAGGUGGUGUGGUAUUUUCCCCCAAUUCCAAGGUUUAAAAGGAUGUUUCAAUCACAUGAGACAGCUAAGAGUUUGACUUGGUGGCAUGCUGCUAGAAAAUCAAUUGACGGUCAGAUGUCUCAUCCGGCGGAUUCCCCAUCUUGGAAACUUCUUGAUGAUAAAUGGCCUGAGUUUGGUAAUGAGCCGAGAAACUUGAGAUUGGCUCUUUCAUCUGAUGGAUUCAAUCCCCACAGUUCUCUAAGUAGCAGAUAUAGUUGUUGGCCGGUUAUCUUAGUUACAUAUAAUCUCCCUCCAUGGCUGUGCAUGAAACGAAAGUUCAUGAUGUUAACCUUAUUGAUUUCCGGUCCUAAACAACCCGGAAAUGAUAUAGACGUCUACUUGGAGCCUUUGAUUGAUGAUUUAAAAUCCUUGUGGGUUGGGAUUAGAGGAGUGUAUGAUGCACAUAAUGGAGAAUACUUUACACUCAGAGCUGCAUUAAUGUGGACAAUUAAUGAUUUCCCCGCCUAUGGAAACUUAUCUGGUUGUGUUGUUAAAGGAUAUAAAGCUUGUCCAAUAUGCGGCGAUGAUACACCUAGUCACAGGUUGAAAAAUGGCCACAAAAUUUGUUACAUUGGGCAUAGAAAAUGGUUACCAAUCAAUCAUCCAUAUAGGAGGCAACGUGCAGCUUUUAAUGGGAAACCUGAAUAUGGCAUACCUCCAGAGCCAUUAACCGGAGAAGAAGUGCUGCAUAUGGUUGAAAAUGGUGACAGAGUUUGUUGGAAGAAGAAAUCAAUAUUCUUUGAUCUCGAGUAUUGGAAAUACCUUCCUGUGAGGCAUGCCCUAGAUGUUAUGCACAUUGAGAAGAAUGUUUGCGAUAGUAUCAUUGGUACAUUGCUGGAGAUCCCUGGAAAAAAUAAAGAUGGGAUUGCUGCUCGAUUAGAUUUAUUGAACAUGGGGGUCAAAACUGAUUUGCAACCCGAGUAUGGAGAAAGACGUACUCGUUUGCCUCCUGGGCCUUGGAAUUUGUCAAGAGCAGAGAAGAGAGAGGUUUGCAAUUCUUUCUAUGGUAUGAAGGCCCCUGAAGGUUAUUCUUCAAAUAUUAAAAAUCUUGUAUCUGUACAAGAUUCAAGACUUCUUGGCCUUAAAUCACAUGAUUGUCAUACCUUAAUGCAACAAUUGCUCCCUGUGGCAAUUCGUUCUGUUUUGGAGAAGCCUGCAAGGUAUGCAAUAACUCGUUUGUGCUUCUUCUUCAAUGCUAUAUGUGCAAAGACUGUUGAUGUUUCCAAGCUAGAUAAGUUGGAAGAAGAUGUAGUAGUUACUCUGUGUUUGCUUGAGAAGUACUUUCCCCCUUCAUUCUUUGAUAUCAUGGUUCAUCUAGUAGUACAUCUUGUCAGAGAAGUUCGUCUAUGUGGGCCAGUAUAUUUUAGGUGGAUGUAUCCGUUUGAAAGAUAUAUGAAAGUGCUGAAGGGGUAUGUUCAGAAUCGUACUCGUCCCGAAGGUUGCAUUGCUGAGCGGUAUAUAGCUGAAGAAGCGGUAGAGUUUUGUACUCAGCAUUUAUCUGAUGUUAGUACAGUUGGAGUGCCUUCAAGCCAAAAGAUGGGAGUUUCAAAGCCAUUAUCAGGUUGCACAGUGAGCGUAGUUGAUCAGGACCUGUUGAAUCAAGCACAUCUAUAUGUCUUGGAGAAUACGGAGGAAGUCCUACCUUAUAUCGAGUACGUAUGAGUUUUAUUCUUUAAGUUUCCAUUUAAAAUUAUUUCUUAUGUUUAUCUUAUAUAUUUGGGACCGUAAUGCUUGAAUUUUUCGUGUCAUGUAGGCAACAUAUGAUCCACAUCAAGACUGCUUAUCCAAAAUUUAGAAAGAGAACAAAGUGGCUGCAGGAUAAGCACAAUAGCACUUUCAUUCAAUGGCUACGCUUCAAGGUAUAUGUUGUUGAAUAACGUAUUUCUCUUUUAAUUUUCUUCUUAUUUAUAUGUUAGGAUGAAUUAAGAUAUGAUUAAUUUGCAGGUUCAAAGUGAAGUUGAGGAAGACAAUCAUGGCGUAUCAGAAAAUUUAAGGUGGCUAGCAGCUGGUCCAAACAUGUCAGUGCCAUUAUAUAGGAGCUAUCUUAUUAAAGGUAUUAAAUUCAAUAUCAAGGCACAAGAUGAUGUGCGGACAACUCAAAAUAGUGGAGUUUAUUUACUUGCACAUACCAUGCAAGUUGCUAGUGCCAAGGAUAAAAACCCAAUUCUCUCAAAUAUGGGUUUCUAUGGUGUCAUUCAAGAAAUUUGGGACCUUGACUACCAAAAGUUUACAAUCCCAGUCUUUAGGUGUGAUUGGAUAGAUAGUUCUGGUCUUGUAGUCGACGAACUUGGAUUUACCCUUGUAGAUUUGAGUAAAAUUGGACAUAGGAAUGACCAAUUUGUUUUGGCUUCUCAAGUCAAACAAAUAUUUUUUGUUGACGACCCGAUGCAUCGUGGUUGGUCGGUAGUGUUAUCAAUGCCUAGUAGAGAAUAUAAUGAUGUUAUUGGUGAUGAAGUAUUAGGUGAUGUGAUAAUUGAGUGUGAGCCAUUUACUAGAGGGAUGCCAAAUGUUGACACAUUUGAUGAACUGGUAGGUGAGUUAGGCGGUCAAAAUAUUCGAGAUGGGUGUGAAGAUAUAUGGAUUGAAUGAUGCUUAUGUAAUUGGCAGUGUAUGACAUUAAUUUUGUAAUAUAUUGUAAUGUGAUUUCUUCACUUUCUACGUUCAAAUAAAACACGACGUUAUUGUGAAUCAGCAUAUUUACCGACGUCUUAAAGCAACGUAACAAUGAAGAACCACGACGCUAUUGUGAAGCAAUUAUUCAGGAUAUCACGUCGGUGAAGGAUAAAGAACCGCCAUGUAAUUCAAAAUAACACGACUCCAAUCCCAUAAUACCGACGUCUAAAAAACGAGAUAUAUAAUCUGAACGUUAAAAAAUACGACGUCAUCAUACAUUUUCCACGUCGCAAGUUCUUUUAUAAACGAAGAGGAACGAAAUUAAUUCCGACGGAAAUUCAUUAUAACCGCCGUCUAAUAACAAUUAAACGACGUUAUUUGUAAUACGGCUCCCAUCAUAAUCUACGCCGUCUAUAUGUUCUGUAAUACGGCUCUCAUUUAUUUGGAACCGACGUUGUUUAGACGUUCAACGUCGUCUAUAUUAUUAAGUGCGUCGUGAGUAAUGAAUACAUAUAAAUACAACGUCGACUAUAUAAAUGUAUACGUCGUAAAUAAUGACACUGACAACUAUUUCCACGUCAUCUUUUUUAGAAAAAUCGAAGUGGAAAAUUUAUUUCACGACGGUUUUUUGUAAAUAAGAGACGUUGUAGAACUUUAGCAGACUAAACACGUCUGUUUUUAUUGUUUUCCGACGUUGUUGUAUUUAACAACGUCUAAUAUUUAUGGUCGUUGUUUGUUUCUGAAAAUAGGACGUAUAAAUUUUUUAAUACGACUCUCAUAUAUUUGUAACUGACGUUGUUUAGUUUUUCAACGUCUACUAUAGAAACACAUACGUCGUAAAUAAUGACACUGACAACUAUUUCCACGUCAUCUUUUAUCGAAAAAUCGAAGUGGAAAAUUAAUUGUACGACGGUUGUGUUUAUAUGUGCGACGUAGUAGGUAUCAAUAACGUCGUCUUCUAAUGUAUUUAAAGACGUCAUAUUUUUUAUUGUCGUGAAAAUUAUAAUUAACGUCGGCGUAUUUUUAUUGUCGUCGUUGUAUGUCUAUCUUGCGGCUUUGUUCUCUUAAUAUGUGUCAUAUUUUCCCUUUUUAACGACGGUGUUUUUAGAGAAUUGGUCGUCUAUUAUCAUCCUCGAUUGCUUUUUUUAGAUCUUUUUGCAGUACAAAGACGUCGUUUUGUAUUUUUUGAUGACGUUGUAUUGUUUAACAACGACGGUUAUUUAGCGUCGUGGUUUUUGAGGGAAAAGAUGACGGUGGAUUCCACGACCAUUGAAAAACCAAAUACACGACGGUGAUUUACCGUCGUCUUUUUGCUUUUUUGUAGUAGUGUUUAGGAGCUUUGUAUAAAAUUUAAACUUCAAUUAUGCUCUCUAGUUUAGGGAGUCAUAAAUGCUAUAACUCUUUUUUUAUUGGUCCAUCUUUAUUAUAAAAUAAAAUAAAAAAUAGUUAGCAUUGAAUAAAGGUUCGAAAUACUCAAUAAAUAAAGCAGCAUUAAAUUAUAUGGAGCCACUAUGAGUCCUUUCUCUCUCCUCAGAUUUAGGAGCUCCUAGAGCUCUCCCUAUUUUAUGAGGUGGAUAGGAAGCAUAGUUGGAGUUGCAUUUUUACAAUUCCUCUCUAAAAUUUGUCUAAAGAGGUGGUUUAGGGAGCCCAUUGUAGAUGCUCUAAGGACUUAGAAUUAGGGUAAUGAUUAAACAGGUCAAGGUAAUGAUUAAACAGGUCCUUCAAUAAGUACGUUUAGUGUGGUUCUUUUCCUUUGACAAUUCACCAUUUUUUUGUUGUCAAAGUUUGGAAGGGGGAGGUGCCAUUGGGUUUAAGGUUCGAACUUAAGGUUACUGAUCUACAAACAAGUGCUCUUACCAUUGAGUUGUGGACCCGUUGGCUUGACAAUUCACCAUUUGAGUACUAAUUAUUAAUCCAGAAAAAGUCUUAUGUGCUGAGGGCUUGAGGUUGAUUCUUUGGAAUUAAUGAAAAAUAUUUCCUUCAACUGAUAAAAUGCAAAUUUACUAUCACACAGUAGCCAUAUAACAGCAAGAACAAGCAAUAUUACAAUACAUGUAGAAAUAUUACAAUGCAAAAGUUGAUAGUAAAGUUCCAACUUCCAAGAACAGUCUCUUCUUUCAUUGUCAUCUUUCUUCUCUCUCUCUCUCUCUCUCUUUCUCGCUCCAUGUAGGAAUUUAUUCUAACCAAUGCAUAACUUCUAUGCUUUCAUCCCCUAACAAUAUGGGCUUAGGUGAAAGAACACUAGGCUAGCUUUAGGGAACCAGAGGAGGGAGUGGCUUCCCAAGGAAAGGAUGUGGAGGAAAUGUUGGAAUGGGUGGAGGAAUUGGCUUCUUGAAAAUAGGAUGGGGAAAUGGUUUCUUGUAUACUGGAAUUGGUGGAGGAAGUGGCUUCUUGAAAAUAGGAUGGGGAAAUGGUUUCUUGUAUACGGGAAUUGGUGGAGGAAGUGGCUUCUUAUAGAUUGGAACAGGAGGUAGAGACGGCUUCUUGAAUUUCGGAAGGGGAUGAAAAAAUGGCUUCUUCACAAAUGGUUUUCCUUCCACAACUGAUACCGGCGGAUGACCCGGCUUCUUGAAGGGUGGAAUCUUGAAGACUGGAACAGGUGGAGGGAGUGGCUUCUUGAAGAUUGGAACUGGUGGUGGAAGUGGCUUCUUGAAGAAGGGCUUUGGUGGAAAUGGCUUCUUUACAAUGGGAAUCUUAGGUAGAGGGUGUUUCUUAAAGACAAACUUCCCUUCUUCAUUCAGCUCUGCAGCCUCUGUUUGCAGCUCUUCAAUUUGGACAUGUGCACAAAGAGAUGCAGAAGAAUGUUACGUAUCAGAAAAACAAUUAACAAAAAAAAUAACAAACCUAGAGAUUUCAGUAAGUAAUUCAAAAUAACGAGCAAUGAAGGGGUCUGUUUUGUAACUUCUGUUAUUGUAUUGUGCUACAUUGCGAGAGCUGUCAUGUAGCGUAAGUAGCUUCCUUCUAAAAGAAAAUUUGUAGUGUAAUCAAGUAGCCUAAAAGAACUAUUUGAUCACAUUAAGACUAAUAUGUAAUUACAUACACACACAUAUAAAUAUAUAUAUAUAUAUAUACACACAGAUUUUCUCCUAUGCGGACCUCUGGACGUUAUUACCGUGUGGAGGCUAUGUAUUUUCUACUACCUCUCUUUGUUCUCCUCCAUGUUUACAAUGGUAUCCGCAAGGUAAUAAUGUGCAGGGGUCUCAUGAAAGAACUCUAUAUAUAUAUAUAUAUAUUAUAUCUCACCUGAAUAAGCUCUGUCUAGUGCUUGUUCUCCAGCUUCCUCAAUAGUCUCUGCAUUGCUGUAGCAGAAGCUUACAGCAAACAAGCACAACCAGAGACCCAGAAGGGCCCUUUGGAAAGUAAGACGGGUCUGCAUUGAAAAACCCUGCAACACUAAAAUGGUAUAGAAGUAGUAAAUCCAACUUUUACAAGUUGGUUAAGCUGGCUUUG
rnacentral:lncRNA from 1 species